AAAGUUUCACUUGGAGAGAGUAGAAAACAGAGGAAAUACACAAGCGGGAAAACACGAUUUGUAGUUUAUCAGAAAAGAAAACAUAUUUAUUUAUAUAUAAGAUAAUAAAAAAAAGUGGUACAACAAUAUUGUCACAGGCAUGAACAUAUAUACCUGCAACUUAAUAUUAAUACAUACAAUAAGUUAAAUCUCGAAAAAUAAUGAUAGGUACUUAAUAAGUAAAACACACGCAUACAUAAAAAUCAAAAUUAAACAGGAAGACGAAACCUCUGUUCAAAACCCAUAUUCAUAUUCAUCCUCCUCCUUAGAUAGUUCCAAACAGUAAUUUCACUCUGAAAAUACUCUUCUUCUUCGAAUUGUUGCAUAAUUUUCUUGAAAACCCAAAGUAACAUUUCACCUGCGGAAAGCAGAAAACAGAGGGAAAACACAACAUGGGAAGCAGGGUAGGUGAACAUAACAGAAGCAUUGGAAGCCAAAUAGAGAGAAAUAAAGAAAAUCAUAACAUUGUCUACGAGAUCGGAGAGUUUCUUGUACAUAUAAUGACGAGAAAAUUUCAGUUUUAUAGUGUAUAUUAACCAGUAUAGGAGCAAAGAAGUGAUAGAAACUCUCAUCCUUUUGGUAUGGAUGAUAAAAGGAUCAGUGCCUGCAUAUUUCAGCUGUAUAUAGGUGAGUGAAAUGGUGAAGAUGAAUACAGCAAGUGUGGGGGGACUAUUCUGUUGCUGCAUGAAAAUGUAAUUGAAAAAAUUUCUCCAUGCCUGGAGGACCAUUAUUAAUUAUUUGAAGAAGAAGAAGCUAAAGGCAACGCAAAUACAAAAGGAUUUAUCGAUGAUCGAUGAAGGAGGAGAAAAAGGAGAAAUAUAAAUAGAGGGAAGUAGUUACUAUAUGUCGAUUAGGAACGGACGAAUGGUUACGAUAUUGCCGAUUAGGAACGCAAAAUAUCACUUUCAUUAAACGCUGCAUGCAUUAAAUUGAAUAAAGGGGUUGUUGGAAUAAAGAAGGGAAUGUGCAGAUCUAUAGGUAUGUAUGCAAAUUUUAAUGUAAAUGGAGAAAUUGAAGGUCGAAACAGUGGUGUCCUCGUGUAAUUGACGUCAUUAUUUUAUUGAUUUUCUUAUUAAUACUAAAUUAUGAUUCAAGUUUUGAUAUCUUGGUAUAUGUAAUAAGUAUUAGGUGUAUGGUAUUAUGUACGGCUGUUCAUGGUUCAUGGUUAUGGUUAUAAAACCAAAUCGAACCGCAAUCCGAAUCAAAUCGAUUAAAAAAAUCGUUAUUUGGUUGGAUUUGGUUAGGUUCGGUUUUAAAUUUUGAAAAAUCGAUAUUAUUUAGUUUGGUUUUACUAAAAAUUAACCGCAAAAAUAACCAAAUCGAACCGAGAAAUUAUAUAUAUAUAAAUUUUAUAAUUAUUUAUAAAUAAAAUGUAAGUAUUUAGAUAAAUUUUAAUAACUUAAGUCUUUAAUUUUACUAUUUUCUGAAGCCCAACACUUAAAUUUUAGCNNNNNNNNNNNNNNNNNNNNNNNNNNNNNNNNNNNNNNNNNNNNNNNNNNNNNNNNNNNNNNNNNNNNNNNNNNNNNNNNNNNNNNNNNNNNNNNNNNNNNNNNNNNNNNNNNNNNNNNNNNNNNNNNNNNNNNNNAAAAAACCUAACCAAAUCGAACCAAACCGACGAUAACCAAACCGAUGGUUAUUUUUUUGAUUUGGUUUGGUUUGGUUUUGGAAAUUUAAAAAUCAAUUUAAAUUGGUUUGGUUUUGGUUUUAACUAAUAACCGAUCCAAAUCGAACCAUAAACACCCUUAGUAUUAUGUGAAUACCCUUAGAUUUAUGAUAUUGGAAAGAAAUUCCCUAGGCUUGAAACUUAUAUAAUUUGUUAUCUUUUUCUAUUUUAUCAUUGUAAAUAAUAUAAAUUGAGAUUUUUAAAAAUAAUUUUGAAAAGAACUUAGGAGAUUAGGGUACAAAUCAUCCAAAAUAAUAGGAUAAGGUGUAAGUCACAAAAGAGCACAUGCAUUAGGGAUGCAAAUCGUAAAUUACUCUAUUUUAAGAUGGCAAGAUUCAAAAACCUUAUUUAUUUGCUUAAGCUUUGUGCCAAAUAAAAAAAAGACAAAUAAAUUAAAAUAAAGGAAGUAUGUCAGACCACAUAAUUAAGAGUUUUAAGUUGCGGAUAUCAAUUUUUUUAAGGAAAAAAAAACACAAAAGAAUGAUAUUUACACAGAUUAAACUAUCUUAUACAUUAUGAAUUAUAAAUAAAACGACGACUAACCGUAACAUCUUAAUUGACAAGUGCGUCUUGGAUUUUAAAAUAAUAAAAUCUUCAAAGAACCACCAAAGGACAAACAAAUAUCUUUUACAUGCACUUUUAUCAAUUAAUCAAUGUUAAUUAAUAAUUAAUACACAUAUUUGAUUAGUAAUACUUGUUAAAUUAUUAAUUUUGUUGGAGUCUACUUCUUUCACUUGUCUAUUUUUAAUUUUCUUUGUUAAGAUAUCCAUAUGCUCUCCAAUGGCUUGUAUUCCUUUGAUUUAUGAAGAUUUAAUCAUUCUAUUUAAAGUUAGAUAUUAUUUUUAUAGAUGAUCUGUAUAGCUAUGCAAUUUAAACAUGCAAAAAAAUAAUAAUAGAAAUAAUGUUGAAAGAUAAUAGAAGAAUGAGACAUCAUUCGUCAUGUGAUACAAAGAAACUUGAUGAAUGAUAGUGUUCAUUUGAAAUAGUUAUCUCAUAUCUAAGUUAUUUUACUAUUAUCAAUUUAUCAUUAGCUAAUUAUAAAUUGGAAAAUCAAACAAAUCAAUGGUUUUUAUGUCGUUUGUUUUUUUUUAAAAAAAAAUAACCAACUAAUUGAUUUGAUUUUGAUUCUCAUAAAAAGUCUAUCCAAAUAGAAUCAUAAACACCCCAAUGAUUGAUUGUAAACUAAAUUAUUACUCCCUCCACUUCAUAUUAAUUGAAUUGUUGAAACAUUUUUCAUCUUUCAAAUUAACUUAAUUGUUCAAUUUUCAAGACUAAUUUUUAGAUGUUCUACCAAUUUUACCCUUCAUUAGUUAGUAUUGAAAUUAGUUACUAUUAAUCACAAAUUUGACAAUAAUUAAUAAGGGUAAAAAUAGAAAAUUAUGUCUAAUUUAAGUCUUAAUCUUCUUUUCUUAGGGCGUGAAACACCUCAACAAUUUAAUUAAUUUGAAACGAAGGGAGUAUUAUAUAUUAAUUUAAAAUUAUUAUAAUAUUUUAGAAACUCCAAAUCCUAAAUUUAUCUUCAUUGAAUUAUCAAAUUAUAAAUGAUUGUAUAAUUGUGUUUUGUAUAGGUAGUAGAGUAAAUAACAAAUAAAUUUAAUGGUAUUUUAGCACGUGGAGUCUCUUUGGAAUAUGUUGCCAAAGACGCGUUACUCCAUUUGUUAGUUGCUAAUAAGGGAGCCAAAAGGGUCAAUAGAGUUUUUUUUAUCUUUAUUAUCUCCUGUUUAUUUUUACUUGUCGAAGAAACAAUAAAUAAAUAGUUUCUGUUGGAUUAAGCUUUAAAUGUGAUGUUAUAAGAGUUAAGUUUAGUUAAUUGAUAAUUUAUUCGUUUAUCACAAUUAUGUUGAUUAAUAAUCUUACGAAGUAACAUGAAAAUUUAUUUUUGAGGGAAACAAAAUAAAAGAAUGAUAAUUACACUGAUUAAACUAUCUUACGUAUGAAUUAAAUAAGACGAUGACUUGGAUUUUAAAACAAUAAAACUUUCAAAAAACCACUAAAGGGAAACCAUAUACACAUAUAUCUUUUACAUGCACUUUUAUCAAUUAACCAAUGUUUAAUUAAUACACAUAUUUGAUUAGUAGUACUUGUUAAAUUUUCAAUUUUCAGAAGUAUGAUUUAUUUUUGGCCGUGUUUCUUGACAAUCAACAGGUUAACAAUAUCAACCAAAGAUAAGAGUUUGCACUAAUCAUAGAAAUUUUCUUUCUAAAAUGACCUUGGUCAUUAUAGGUAUUAUAUAUAGUUAGAUGUAUUCAAUGUUUGGUGAAAAAUAAAACUAAAACACAAAUCAAAUCAAGCUGACUUAAAAAAAGAACAUUUGAUUUUGUUUGGUUUUGAAUUUUUAAAAUCGACAUUAUUUGCUUUGAUUUUUACAGUAAAAAAAACUGAUAACUUGAUUUGAUUUUGAAUUGAAUUGGACAGUUUUUUAGUUAACAACUUAGCAUAAAGACUCAUAAAUUAGAGUGGAAAAACAUAUUUUUUGCUAUCAUAAUUUACAUGAAAGUGUUUGAUUGGACAUAAAAUUUAAGAGAAAAAUAAAAAAAAAUUAAAACUUAUAAUCUAAAAUAAACUAGAGCUAUAGAAAGUUUGGUGGUUAUAAUAUAGUAAUGAAGUAUUUUGUGUGAUAAAAGUUCAGUUAAAAGACUUACUACUAAUAUUAAUUGCUAGUAUACUUGUAAGAAAGACCUAAUUCCUUUUUUUUUUUUUAGAUUUCAUGAGAGAGUGAAUGGAUAAAAGGUUAAAAGGAUCAAUGAGUUCAGUUUGUACAAAUAAAUUAUAAUGGUAGAUACUUUUAAAAAUUUAUUUGGACAAGGAAAGUGGAUAUUGGAUAGGGAAAAGGAGAAUAAAUUGGAAACAAAGAUUUAUUUAAAAGGUUGAAUUCUUAGCAUCUGGCAUGGAACAAACUUUUUGCUAGUCUCUUUCAAUCUAUUUUACUUGUUUAUUAAAAUUAUCGAAAAAGACCUAAAAUACCCCUUAACUAUGCAAAAUGGUACAAAAUUAUGCUUUCGGACUUAAAAUGCCUUCGAUAUCAACCUUUUGGCUCUAUUUUGUCCUCAUAGUAAAUCAUAAUCUCAAUUAACAAAAGAUCAAAUCCAGGCUUCCAUCCGAAAGCCCCACCCGUAAAAAUCCCCAAAUAUUUUAAUCAAACCUUUCAUCCCCAAAUCCAUUGAUAAUGUUGAAUUGCGCUUCACACCCGGAGAUUAACCAGUUGAAUUGCUUCGAGAUAAAAGUGGCAAUGGACAUAAAGUUCUUGCAUACUAGCUCCAACACCUACUACUUCUUUUGAAUCUCCAAAACGACUUGGAAUUGGUUGAUGUCGAGGGCAUUUUAGGCCCGAAAGAUAGAAGAAGGAUAAUUUAAUAUCAAUUCAUAUAGUUGAAGAGAAUUUUAGGCCAUUUACCGUAAAAUUAAUUUUUACUACUCAUUAUAUGAUUAAGAUAGAAAUAAUCAUUAGUUCCACCUUUAUUCUUGCUCAAUAAAUAUGACAAACGUUGAUUAAUGUGGUGAAAAAGAGAUUGUUAUUAAAUUGAGAUUAAAAAAAAGAAGAUAAUAUAUGCAAAUUACUUUUUAACUUAAUAAUUUUUCGAAGAAUUUGCAAAAGAAAAACAUGAUAAGUAAAAUAAACCGGAGGGAUUAAUUUCAUUGCACUUUGGAGGAUACUUUCCACAUGCACUAUUCUUGGCGAAAAUGUUUUUUCACGAAUGAACUCAAAUUUGUUAGGGAAAAUAUACUAUUUUCCUUCUAAUCAUCUUGUUUUUAGAACUUUCGGGAUUUCCUUUAAAUUUUGAUUCGUCUAUAUUAUCACCCAUUCAUUUUUACUUGUCAAAAAAAUAAUAAAUUAAUUUAGGCAUAAUACAUAUAUUGGACCUUAAACUUGGCUUCAAAUUUUAACUUUGACCUCCAACUUUCAUAGUGCACAAACAAGCACUUUAACUAUCCAACCUUUUAAUAAAUAAACACGNNNNNNNNNNNNNNNNNNNNNNNNNNNNNNNNNNNNNNNNNNNNNNNNNNNNNNNNNNNNNNNNNNNNNNNNNNNNNNNNNNNNNNNNNNNNNNNNNNNNNNNNNNNNNNNNNNNNNNNNNNNNNNNNNNNNNNNNNNNNNNNNNNNNNNNNNNNNNNNNNNNNNNNNNNNNNNNNNNNNNNNNNNNNNNNNNNNNNNNNNNNNNNNNNNNNNNNNNNNNNNNNNNNNNUGCACUAUUCUUGGUGAAAAUGUUUUUUCAUGAAUGAACUCAAAUUUGUUAGGGAAAAUAUAUUAUUUUCCUUCUAAUCAUCUUGUUUUUAGAACUUUCGGGAUUUCCUUUAAAUUUUGAUUCGUCUAUAUUAUCACUCAUUCAUUUUUACUUGUCAAAAAAGCAAUAAAUUAAUUUAUGUUGAUUACCUAAGCAGAAGUUUAUAGGUUAGUCCCAAUCAUGUGAAUAAUUUGACACUUGACGAGAGAAACAAAGAAUACCAUAUUGAGUUCAUAUGAAAAAUAAUUACGAGGCCGGAGUAAGAGUGUUGCCUAUGCUCUAUAGGAAUCGUAAAUUUAGCACAAAUAUUAUAUUUUUGUUUAUAAAUAGAAAAAUUGAUCAAGGACAUAAUAAAUUAUAUUUUUUAAAAUUUAGAAUUCAUAAAUUCAAAAUUCAAGUUCACUCGAGGUCCGAAGACAUGCAUGAUAUCCAUCUAACUUAAUAUUACAACAAUAACAACUGAAAUCUUGAAGCAACAUGCAUGAGAAAUAAACAUAGUACGAAGUCAGAGAAUCUCUCAUUCUCUGUAUAUUUCUUGUAAAAUUAGACGGUAAGAGUAAACCUCUGUUCCAUUGGAUAAACAAUCAUAUUCGCCCGCCUUCUUAAAUAGUUCCAAAUUGGUUCACCACUCAUCCUCCUUCUCUGCAAAUAAGAUUCUUCUUCGAAUUUUUGUUUAAUUUUCUCGAAAAUCCAAAGUAGCAUUUCGCCUCCUGAAAGCAGAAAACAGAGGAAAUACAAAACAGGGGAAACAGAGUCCGGGAAGAGAACAGAGGCAGUGGAAGCCAAAGAUAGAGAACUAAAGAAAAUCAUAACAUGGUGUACGAGGUCGGAGAAUUUCCUGUACAUAUAAUGACGAGAAAAUUUCAGCUUAAUAGCGUAUAUCAAACAGUAUAGGAGCAAAGAAGUGACAGAAAGUCUCAUGGUUUUGGGAUGAGUCGAAAAAGGAAUCAGUGUUGUUAUUGCCUUGAUAUUUUAGCUGUAGAAAAUUGAGGAGAAUAGUGAAGAAGAAUCCAAAAAAUGUGAGGGAACAAAGUUGUGGUAGCUCUGUUCCUGGUACAUAUAGAAAAUGUAAGGAUUGUGUAGCCAUGAAAGUGGAAUAUGCUUGGAACAAAAAUAGGCCAAUUCUUGAAUUAUUAGCCAUUGAAAAAAUUGAAGUUAAGAGACAAGAUGAAGAAAUAAAAGGGAGUGAUAGAAUUAGCUGUUGAUUUAAUGUGUGUAUAUAUAGAGUCUAGACUCUAGAGAAGCACCUUGUGUAAAUUGCGUGCCAUUAUAAGGUUAUAUUGGAAAAGAGUGGAAAGGGCUGAUUGGGGGCUAUUUUGUGGGUCAGAAGGUUCAAAAAGAAUGAAAUUGUCAAAACACUACCCAACAUUAGUGCAUUCAUCAAUUUCUACGAAAUUUCAUGUAUACUACACAAUUGAAAAUUUGUAGCCAGUAUUAGAAGGGGUUGAGCAUUCUGUAUUCAGUUCGAUAUGUCCAAAGUUUAAUUUUGCUAAUUUAGUAAUUGAUAAUUGAAAGUAGAUAUCAAAUAUUGAAUUUUUAAAAUUUGGUAUAGUAAAUCAAACUUCGAUGUAAUAAUUGUGUAUCGAAGAAAAAGAUAUUCCAACCGUCAACAUUUUACAUGUUAACUUUUAGAAAUGUCACUCUCAACUCUCGAGCCCUAACUAACAUUAUGAAUUUGUGGUAUAGGUCUAUAAGACAUAACAGUCAUAUAAAUUAAUAUGGAUGGGAUACUAAUAAACUAAUAUUGUCAUAUAAAUUAAUAUGGAUGGAAUACAAAUAAACUACUAUUGUGCAGUAGACGUUUAGUUAAAAGUCUUAUUACUUGUAGCACUACCACCAUUUAGGCCUUAUUCAACAUGAAUCUGAAUUAGUCUGAUUUUAAUGUUGGUAUUGAACAUCGGAGGGGAGGAAAAAAAUAAGACUUACUACUACUAUUAAUGUAGUAGUACUUUUGAAAGGGUCUUGAUCUUCCUCCUUUUUUUUAUUCUUUUUUUCUUUUUUUUAGAUUUCAUGAGAGGAUAUAAAGGCUAAAAGGAUCAUUAAGUUCAGUUUGUACAGCAAAUGCUGUCAACUACUAUACAUAAUCACAAAGCUUGAGCCUUAUUAUUAUUAUUUUUUAAUUUGAAUGUGGAUAGAGGAAAAAAUGAAAUUGGGAAGAAAUAAUUCUGUUUAAAAAUUAAUAAAGAAAGUUUUGCCAUUUCAAACGUUGAAUUUCUUGGUUGUGCAAGUUUCUCAAUUUGUAGUAAAUUUCUCUAGUUUAUUCCAUAACUGACCUUGUCAUAUGUAUUACAAUUAUUAUCACUUAGCCAAAAGUUGUUAUCUUUUGAUUUGUGAUUCCAUGUCAAUAUGAUAUUGAACCUUUUCUUGGUUUUUUUUUAUAAUUAUUUCUCCAAGCAUGUUUCUGUUAUUGGUAAAAUAUUUUUUUCAUGACUGAACACAAACUUACUGGGAAAAGAUAUGAUUUAUCCUUCUAAGUACCUAGGUUGAACUCCCUCUGUUUCAAUUUAAUAAUCCCAUUUCCUCUUUUAAUUUAAUCCGUUUUAAAAGAAGGAACCUCUUAAAAGAAUGUCUCUUUUCAUUUUUGAUAAUUUUUUAAUUCAAACUUUUCGCUAUUUUCUUGUAACAGUUUUAACUCUCCACAUUACCACAUUAGACUUAUUAUAUAGGGCUACUUCGUGUUGUCAUUCAGCUUAACUGAUACAACAACAAUAACAUAUCCAGUGAAAUCCCACUAAGUGGGGUAUGGGGAGGCUAGAGUGCUCGGAAACUUCACCCAAAUAAAAGAAUAAAAAACAAUGAAAAACACAUAAUAGUUGGUACAAAAAGCAGUGUAGAAGUAGAACCUACCAGAAAGAAAAAUUAUACAUCACAUUGCAUAGUAAUUAAACUCAUUAUAUGCCUCACAAUAACGAUAUUCAGAAGGCCUUGUGCUCAAUGGGCAAAUCUUUCACAUAAAAUGUUACAAAUGUUGCAGAACAUAUGUCAAGACAGAAAAAACUAUAAGAAAAAAAAUCCCAAGUUGACAAUAGCUUUGAUUUGUGUUCUCUUCUAUAGCAAUGUGGCCACGUUUUGGGGAUCGUUCACUAAAAAGGGUUUCAAUCGAGGGUCUGUUAGCUGGGGAAGACCAGCUCUUGCUCCCAAUGCCCUACACCCGAUAGCUGCCUGCAAUGAACCCACAAUGCACAAGUUAGCUUCUUUUACAUUUACAAUUUACAUAAGACACAAAGCUAAAGUCUACUAACCACUUGAGAAGCAAAUGGCAACAUUCUUUCUGGUGGCAUAUUUAAACUUACAAACCCUUAUCAAGCGUGAAGGGAACAAUGCCAUAUAUUUAAACUUGCAUAUAUAUAAACACACGUAAGACUAAAGAAAAAAACAAUAACAUCCAGAAAGGAGGUAAGAAAAUGGAUUGAGGUUUAUAGAAUCUCUCGAUCCAAUUGUCACAGGUAGAGGGAAAAGGGUGAUGCAGGAAAAUAACACAUUUAAAGGAAGAACAUUAGGUAUAAAGACUGCAGAGUAUGAUUUUGCUUACCAUACAGAACUGCUCCAAUAAAUGCAUCAGUUGUAUCGACUAAUUCUGAUGGCGGUAUCUUUUCAGCUGUUCCAAGAAGCAGCUUCCCACUCACUGUGCCAAUGCCUUUUGCAAUAUCCUAGAAGAAGACGUGUACUUUAGUUUAUUCAGCUUCAUAAGAAGUGCUGGGGAGAAAAAAAAAUCAUAAGCAGCACCAAGAAGUCUCCAAUUAAAAGAAUUAAAAGUAAUGGUACGACUGCAAGAGAACAUGUGGAGGCAAUUCAUAUUUGUAAAGAUGAAUAUCAUGACGUACUAGAAAAAGGGUACUAGCCAGGAAGAACCAUGCAUGACUCCCACUCCACAGUAGAUAUUCACUUUACAGUGGUGGACUAGAACAAAAUGAAUUGUGUGCACAGAUUUUUAUUAGUUCAUGAGCACUGUGGCCAUGCUUCAGUCGUUUAUUGAAUCAUAAAUCUUCUAAUUGGUGAAUUACCGAAGAAAUAGAUGUUGCACUGGUUGCGUCAGUAUCAAUACUCUGCUUCAUUUUCUUGAACAACUCAUCGACGUCAAUUUCAUCAGACUGGAGAUCCUCUGCAAAUCAACCCAAUAGCGAAAAGUAAAUACAUACACCUCUUGUUCAUCUUUCAAAACAAUUUGUUUGCCUACAAGCAGACACUUAACAUACAUCAGAAGAACCAAAAAAAUAUGCAAGCAUACCAGCUUGAGCCCUUUCUAACAUCAUGCAGCCAUCUUCACCCAAUGUCACAAUUACAAAUUUGAUGUUUGGCAACUUUAGAAGUACAGAAACUAGAGCAGCUGGGAUUGAAGGGGCCUCUGUCCAUACCUGCGAGACAAUACAUCUUUUGUCAAGCUCAAAAGGGGGAAAGAUAUUGUUGAGUCCCACAUGGCGGGAUAACGAGAAAUUGGUCUCUUUAUACGGUCGUGGACAAUAUUCACCUCUUGAGCUAACUUUGGGGGUUAGGCCCAAGGUCCAUAACAUAGUAUCAGAGCCAAGCCUAUACCAAUUCAUGGCUUACAGAUGUUGGGGCCAUUAUUAAAUUUCCCAUGCUCUAGAUGUCCAGCCCAGGGUGCUGGGCAUGUGGGGUGAUGAGUCCCACAUGGUUGGAUGACAAGAAAUUGGUCUCUUUAUAUGAUCUUGAUCCUAACCUCUUGAGCUAGGAGGAGAAAAAUUAACACUAUUUCACCUUUUUAAAAAGAGUGUUGAAAACAAUUUUAAUCCCCAAUUAUGUGGUAAGUAGUGGCAAGGGAUAAAAGCUUUAAGUUGUAACACACUGAGGGAGGAAGGGACUUUGUCGUCGAAUUAAAAUUGGGGAGACAACAAAUUUCACUCCUAGACUUUAUAGCAACUAAGAAUUAGAAGCAGAUCACCAGAUAUCCAAAUUGAAAUUCCACAGCAAAGGAACAGUGUCAUUGCAAUUUGUCAGUGUAGCUAACUUGCCUGUGGAAAUCUCGCUGAGCAUACGACAUAAGUUGCCAAGUUUAGAAGGUCAUCUACCCUUUCUCUUUUCCGUUCUGCAUCAAUUACAAUAGGUAUAUUCCUCCGAUGUGCCUGCACUGGGAAUCCAAAAGGCAUACAGUAUUUUCCAUUUGAUUGAAAACAUAAGUCUUCGGAAAAUUUGAACAAAAACAACAAACAAUAAUUAAGCUCAAUAUGUCGGCCCUAGGACGAAUACAAGCAACAUAUUCAAAAGCAGACAGCAGGACAAAAGUUUUUACUAGCCAUUACUUCCAUUUGUCUGACAAAGAAAUCCAAGUUAAAAUUACCUCUCGGGCCACAACUAAAGCUGAUAACAAUUCAGUUUCUUGCAAUACUCCAUCAAAAUAUACAUACAAAUCUCACAUCAUCCAGAGCUGAUGACAAAUUCGACUUGGAUAAAUCCUCAGGUAUCAUAGGUGGGUAUCCUGGAGUGUAAAUGCAAGUGCAAGUUUUCCUGGUACAUCAAACAAUACUAAUCACGACUCACGAGAGCUAAUAGUUUCAACAGAACAAGUUCUGAAGGUUCAGCAAACCAAUUGUAUACACCCAGAGAUAGUAAAUAUAGUAAACUUACUAAAAUGUUUAUACUUCUCUCACGCAAAUAUGGUGGAGAAGAACUUCGUUGGAAACUUUUGAACCAUUUCUUUCUGCCAUACAUGUAAUCAAGUGGCAGUUUUGGCACAAGGAAAAUUUAAUGUAAAUGAGAAAAGAAAAGUUACUCAGCCAAACAUACAAAUUCCUCGUUAUAGUUUCUUUAUCUAUUUUCUUUUACUCAUGAUAGAUAGGAAUCACUUCAUAUGACUAAACAAUUUCUGUUACUUUUCCAGGCAAACUUUACAUGUAGAAUGUAUUUCAAACUUCAUAAAACAAGAGGUGAUUCAUGAUAUACAAUUAUUCAAUUAUUCUCAUUUACAAUUAGGGUGAUCAAUAAUGCAACAUUCGCAUACAUAUAUGCAUUAUAAUGAGUAAUUACAAACAUAUAUCACACCAACAUAAAAUCACAACCAUCAGCUACUUCGAAUCCAAGCUUGAAUCCCCUAAUUAAGGCACUUGAAUCUUCCCUUUCCGGAUUCUCUCCGCUUGUUCUAGGUCUACAAACAACAAUUUAUACGCAAAGAUCAACAAUCAAAGAUCUAAUUUUCCGAAUUAUAACAAACCCAAUAACUCUAGAUCAAGCCCUUGAUUCUCAUAUCCAGAUUAGGGCUUUUCCCACCAUAAUUCCCAGAUCAAACCCUCUCCCAUCAAUAAUUACCCAAGAAACUAAGUGCUACGGAUCGAAAAAAGGAUUCGGGGAGUGAAAACCUUACCUUUAGCCUCAAGAAUGGCGGAAAACUGUCAAGAAAACACCUAGGGUCGUUCCUUAGCUCUCAAAGUCGAAAAGUGCAGAAUAAAACGAAUUUGGGGUUUAUUUCCGACUUUAAGUCGCGUCUACCACGCCAUGGCGACACUCACCCCACUACAGCGGCCCCGCCCUGGCGGUAGAAAUCCAGUCUCAGCGGCUUGCACGGAAAUAGUGAGCAAAAUUAAUAAUUCCAAGACUCCAUUUCACAACACACCUUCAACCAACGACACUCAGAAACUACUCGUUCACGAUAAAAUCAAUUCUGGGAGUUUUAGUCGCCCGAAUUCAAUUCCGUAAAGUCGUACGGGUUCCUUAACGUCUUAGCUAUCCAUUCAUGUAAUCAAAUUUAUUAAUCGAUAUCUCAUUUGUUACCAGAUUUCCCUAGACCUCACUGACUCGAUUUCGUCCAAAUCUGGACUAGGCUAGGAAAUCCAAAGUACUACUCAAAAGUUUUCUGGCCUCAAUUCUUUCCCCAUUGGCUUUUUCUAUAACGACGGGAACAGGUCGUUACAGAUUGUGUUCUAAAGGUUAGUAAAUAUAUUAUUUAAGAAUAAAGAAGUUUAAUGGGACAUGACAUACCUAGGAGAGAGAUUUUUAUUAGUUAAUUAUAUUUUUUAGAAAUUAAAAAUAAUUGAGAUAUAUUAUGUUCAUAAAAGAAACAAAUCUCAAACAUGUGACUAGGGGUGUUCACUGGUCGGUUUGGAUCGGUUAUUGGUCAAAAUCAAAAUCAAACCAACUUAAUCGGUUUCAAAAAUUAUCAAAACCAAACUAAAUAUAAUAUACAUUUAUCGGUUUCGGUUAUUAACCGUAUACAAAAAUAAAAGAAACAAUUCAUUCAAAAUGUGAAAAAAGUGACAACAAUUCAUUCAAAAUGAAAAAUAGUUAAAAUGAUCGAAAUUACUGAACUUUCGAUCACUGAAUUUACUGUGAAUAAAGCUUUAAAAUUCACUAUUUUGGCCUAGAAAGAAGAGACAGUAACAUUUUCAGUCCUAAAAAAAUUAUCAUAGAUACUCAUAUACAUGAAAUCAAUAAGAUAAAUUUUUUCACUUUGGAUAUUUUUCUUUCAAUAAGUAAAUUAUUAAGAAAUUAUAAUGAAAACAUAUAUUAGAUCAUUAAAAAUGUUUAUAAAAAUAAUAUAUUAAGUAUGUAUAUUAAUAAUAUAUAUGUAUAUAAUUUAUUGAUUCGGUCUGAUUAUUUCUUCGAUUUUUUCAAAUAAAACCAUAACCAAACCAAAUACUAUCGAUUUCAAAAAUCUAAAACCAAAUCACAUCAAACACAAAUAAAAUCGAUUUAUUUUAUCAAUUUGAAUUGAUUUUUAUCCAAAUCGUGAACAUCCCUACCUGGGACCGUUCAUGAAAUUUACUCCUUAAAUAACAUAUAGGAUGAUCGCCAAAUGAAAUUACCCAAGUCAUGGUUCAACUUGCCUUAAUUGCUCCAAUAAUGUCACCCGACAAAGGUAUACCUUAAUAGGUGGGUCCAUAGGAUCAGAUAUAAUGUCCCUACUUCAUUCUCACAUUUAAUUCACUGGCGUAUCACAAAGUUGGUGCCACUUUUUAGCGUUUUGGCACACAAAUUUCUAAAUUUUCGGCAAAGACUUUUUUUUAAAAAAAAAAUAUGAUUUAUAUUCGUAAGUUCUAAAAAUCAUUUAAAUUAUUCAUAGAUUUGUAUUUUAAUUUUACAAUGAAAAUGUUCCAUAAAAAGCCAUGACAAUGAACAUAAUUAAUAUAAAUUUGAAAAAAGAGAAAAAAAAACACAAAAGGAAAAUAUCAUUGUGUAUACGAAUAACGGUAUAAAUUUUGUAUAACAAAUUAGGAAUAAAAUUUAGUCCAAAACUAUUAAUAAUGGGUGUUUUUAUAAAAUAUUAAAGUUUGGGUAAUUUUUAAUUUUUUUAAAAUUCACAAAUACUAAAAUUUGGCCCAAAUUCUAGAAUUUUUUCCCAAACUUGGGAUGUUUGCCAAACAUAUUUGCCAAUUAAUGAUAAAUUAUAAGACGAAACUUAGUUCCCAAUUUUAUAAAAAAAAAUAUUUGUGGACAAACGAGCAUAUUGCACUUUUUGUUUGGUUUUAACUCAAAAUGUGUUUAUGAAACACCAGCUAGUAAUCACCAGGAGGUUUCCUUAAAAUAAAAUUUGACUUUUCAUUUUCAGGAUAUCCAAAUGAAAAAAAGGGUGUUCCCUAUUGUCUAAAAUAAGUGGCUUAAUUCUAUUUUUCACGGUGAGAAGAUGUGAUAGAAUGGGUAAGAAAAAUAUUUUAAAAAAUAAUAUUUUUUUAGGAUAAUAAUUUUUUAAUUCUUAAUUUUAACUAAUACUAAUAAUUUAUUUAAUUUUUGCCAAGGUAGAAUGUUUUGUCCAUAUGGAGUGUGAUGUGACAAUUUUUUUAAAUAAAAGAGAGAGUGUAGUACACACCAUGAAGAGAGUGUAAUAAUAUAGAGGGUUGUAUUUCUAAGAUAUGAAACUCCUUAGUAGUUUAAGUAUGAAACUCAAAAAAAAUGGACAGUUUAGAUAUGUUUUUGACAUUUAUCUCUUAAACAAAUAUUGAGUAUUUAUAAUAAUUGAUUGUGAACUCUACUAUUUCAAAUUAAAAAGUUAUUAUAAAUUUUAGAAAGUCCAAAUCCCAAAUUCAUCUGAAACUCCAAAUUUCAAAUUUAAGUCAAGAAUAAGUUGAUAAAAUCUUGGAUAUUAUACUUACCUUAAUUCAAACUUUGACAAAAUUUCUAAAGAUAUUGUAUCGUGUACUAGAACUCCUUCCAUCCCAAAUAAGCGUUACUUUAGCAGAAAAAAAAGUGUGUUUCAAAAUAAAUCUCAUCUGGAAAUUUAAGACACGAAUUUAUACUCUCUUUGGUUCUUGUUAAGUGAAUUAUUAGAUAGGAUACAUCUCUUAAGAAAAAUAUUUUAGCACAUAAUAAAAUGUUAUUCUUAAUGAAUAUAAAAUAAUUAAGAAUCUUACUAAACAAAUAUUAAUAAUUAACUUAAAAUAAAUUAAAAAUAAUAUUUAAUAAUGUUCAAUUUUUAAGAGAACGUAUAUUAGAUAGAGAUUGAAUUUCAACACGUGAACUCUUUUUGGAAUAUGUUGAAAAACGCACGUUCUUCCGUUGUUGUUGAAUUUAAUUUCCUAAAGAGACGUACACCACUAAAGUUUCACCUGGAGAGAGUAGAAAACAGAGGAAAUACACAAUAGGGGAAACAAGAUUUGUACCUUAUCAGAAAAGAAAAUAUAUUUAUAUACUUUUAAUAAAUAUACAUGCAACUUAAUAUUAAUACAACAAUUGAAAUUUCGAAUUAUCAUGAGAAAAAUUCAUGCAAGUAAAACACACACACAUAUACAUACAUAAAAAUCAAAAUUAUUUAGGAAGACUAAACCUCUGUUUAAAACCCAUAUUCAUCCUCCUCCUUAGAUAGUUCCAAACAGUAACUUCACUCUGAAAAUACUCUUCUUCGUCUUCGAAUUUUUGCAUAAUUUUCUUGAAAACCCAAAGUAACAUUUCGCCUCCGGAAAGCAGAAAACAGAGGGAAAACACAACAUGGGGAACAGGGUACGUGAAUAGAACAGAAGCAGUGGAAGCCAAAGAGAGAGAAAUAAAGAAAAUCAUAACAUUGUGUACGAGGUCGGAGAAUUUCCUAUAAAUAGGAUGACGAGAAAAUCUCUGCUUAAUACCGUAUACUAAACAGUAUAGGAGGAAAGAAGUGGCUGAAAGUCUCAUUGUUUUGGGAUUGGUGGUAAAAGGAUCAGUGCCUUGAUAUUUUAUCUGUAUAAAGGUGAGUAAAAUGGUGAAGAAGAAUCCAAGAAUUGUGAUGGGACUACUCUGUUCCUGUAUGAAAAUGGAAUUGAAAAAGUUCCUCCAUUCCUGGAGGACAAUUCUUACAUUAUAGGCCAUUAUUAUUUGAAGAAGAAGCUAAGGGCAGGGAAAAUAUAAAAGGGUUGAUCAAGAUGAUGAAGGAUGUUAGCAAAUGCAGAAAUAACAAAGCUUAUGUUAGUUAGAAGAUUCCAAGAGUUAGUUACUAGCUGAUGACAUGGCAAUAGUUAGUUACAAAGUUUGUUAGAGAUAUUUUGUAUUCAUUCAUAGUAAGAGUAGUAUAUAUAAGCAUGUAUGUACAGAUUCACUGAAUCAAGACAUUAAUACAAUCUUCUUCCUUCUUCUUCUCUCAAAUGCUCUGUGAAUUCUCCAAGGCUUGAUCUCCAUUCAUGGAGUUAUCAUAAAGGUGUAUAUGUUUGUAAUUAUUUUACUUUUAUAGGAUAUUUACUUAGUUUCCCCUCAAUAGUACAAAAAUCGAAUAAAUCAAAUUUAUUUUGGUUUGAUUGCGGUUAACAUUUUCAUAAAAUCAAAAUCCAAAAAACCAAAUUUCUCAAAUUGAACCGACCGAAUGCCUACCUUAUAAGUGUGGGAACUAGGAAGCAAUGAUUUUUCUUCAACCAAUUUCGCUUGAACUGCAAUAUAUUUGCAUCAGAACUCAUAACUAAUCUCACCAAUAACUUUACCAAUCACUUACAGAUUACACAAUAUUCAUUCCUAUCUCUCAAUUCUUACAUCAAUCUUAUUUUUUCCUAUCAAGCUAGUUAGCGUUUUACGAGUUUCAGUUGAAAAAUAAUAAUUGAAUGCAAUCUCUUCAGACGUCUUAAUUUAAUAAAAACAAAUAGAGCAUGACUUCUCUUACCUACGGAAAGAAGUCAUUUUCUAAAGGGGAAAGAACACUUGUACUCCCCAAAUACAAAUAUCAUCAUAAUAUAUAUAUAUAUAUCUAUUCCAAUGGUAUGAAGGGGCAGUUAGGUAAAUAGUUUAGGUUAUAGGUAUAAUCAAGGUAAAUUUAUUGGAUUGAGUCCAAUUUAGGUAAAUACUUUGUUUAAAGAGUUAAAUUUGUGUAGUUUUCCUUUUCUAAAGUUCUACGCAGUAAAUAGUUUAGGUUGUAGGUCUAAUCAAGGUAAAUAUAUUGGGUUGGAUCCAAUUUAGGUAAAUACUUUUGCUUAAAGAGUCAAAUUUGUGUAGUUUUCCCUUUUCUAAAGUUCUUAACUUAAUAUAACUUAUUUUUAAGGGACUUUAAGUCAGGGGACGACAAAUGGACUACGUUAAGAGAUGAAAGUUGCAGGUCAAUUCUCGAUGAUAUCAUUGUGUAUAAAGGCAAUUUUUAUGCUGUUGAUCUAGAUGGCGAGACCAUAAAAUUUGAUUACUCGCUUAAUGAGACCAAGGUUGCACAAUAUGAGGGUUGCUGUUAGACGUAUGAAGAAGAAACGACUUGUGGAAUCAAGUGGUCAAUUGUUUCUUGUUGAUAUGAGUUCAUAUGACUCUGAUCCCAAUAAAGUCGAUAGGAUUAUAAUAUAUUGGCUAGAUAAACAAAAGCAUGAGUGGACUCGUGUGUAUAAAUUGGUUGAUCGUAUUUUCUUUGUUGGUGACGACUGCUGUUUCUCAGUGCCGAGGGAAUUGCAUUUACUAUACAAAUGGAUCUGCAUAUAUUAACAUGUUGCGGAAGUAUGAUCGUAAGUUUUGGGUUAAUAACCGAUAUAGAUAUCAUAUACAUCGUUUUGAUGACUAUCGUAGCAUCAAUAAUUUUAGUCAAAUAUCUUUUGGCUAUCCUAUAGGUAGUCAUUGUAGCGUGAGUUAUUAUAGAACAUCAGGUGAUAUUAGUGCAGAACUGGUACAUAAAUAUAAAGGAUUACAGGGUCAUAACACGGGUGUGCUUACUGCUGUUAAACCUGGUUAUAAGCUUGGACCACUGUUAUUCUACCUUGAAUAUGCAGAUAUUUUCUGGCCACCACCAUCUUGGCUUAAUCAGAAAUCAUACAGGAAGGUUCUCAAAAAAAGAAAAAAAGGAAGUUGCUGAGUCAUGAUUAUUUUAUUUACAUACAAGGAAGAGGCAGAAGGAUCAAUUCAUGAAGAGACAUAUCGAUGCAGGUCCUACUCCAAUUAAUCUUUGUCAUUUUACUUUAAUUUAUAUUUGACUUCAAUUUGAUUCUUGUGUUACUACUGGCUUUGAUUUGGUGGUAAUCAUUCUACUAUGCACAGACCACAAGUGUCAAUUUUUUACAAACAUUUUAAAAUGUAUUUUUUCAUUAUAUUGAUAUGGAAAAAAAAAAUUGAUUAAUUUUUGAAUAUCUAAAAUUAUAUUUUAAACUAUCAAAUAUAAUUUAAUAUAUCUUUAAAAAUUAGUCAAAUUAACUCUCGAAAAAUGUCACACAACUAAAAAGAAACUAAGGGAGUAAAAUGAAUAAUUAAUAGGCUAAUAGCCCAAACUAAUCUAUUAACUGAGGGAGUAAAAUGAAUAAUUAAUAGGCUAAUAGCCCAAACUAAUCUAUUAACUGAGGGAGUAAAAUGAAUAAUUAAUAGGCUAAUAGCCCAAACUAAUCUAUUAACUGAGGGAGUAAAAUGAAUAAUUAAUAGGCUAAUAGCCCAAACUAAUCUAUUAACUGAGGGAGUAAAAUGAAUAAUUAAUAGGCUAAUAGCCCAAACUAAUCUAUUAACUGAGGGAGUAAAAUGAAUAAUUAAUAGGCUAAUAGCCCAAACUAAUCUAUUAACUGAGGGAGUAAAAUGAAUAAUUAAUAGGCUAAUAGCCCAAACUAAUCUAUUAACUGAGGGAGUAAAAUGAAUAAUUAAUAGGCUAAUAGCCCAAACUAAUCUAUUAACUGAGGGAGUAAAAUGAAUAAUUAAUAGGCUAAUAGCCCAAACUAAUCUAUUAACUGAGGGAGUAAAAUGAAUAAUUAAUAGGCUAAUAGCCCAAACUAAUCUAUUAACUGAGGGAGUAAAAUGAAUAAUUAAUAGGCUAAUAGCCCAAACUAAUCUAUUAACUGAGGGAGUAAAAUGAAUAAUUAAUAGGCUAAUAGCCCAAACUAAUCUAUUAACUGAGGGAGUAAAAUGAAUAAUUAAUAGGCUAAUAGCCCAAACUAAUCUAUUAACUGAGGGAGUAAAAUGAAUAAUUAAUAGGCUAAUAGCCCAAACUAAUCUAUUAAGUGAGGGAGUAAAAUGAAUAAUUAAUAGGCUAAUAGCCCAAACUAAUCUAUUAACUGAGGGAGUAAAAUGAAUAAUUAAUAGGCUAAUAGCCCAAACUAAUCUAUUAAGUGAGGGAGUAAAAUGAAUAAUUAAUAGGCUAAUAGCCCAAACUAAUCUAUUAAGUGAGGGAGUAAAAUGAAUAAUUAAUAGGCUAAUAGCCCAAACUAAUCUAUUAAGUGAGGGAGUAAAAUGAAUAAUUAAUAGGCUAAUAGCCCAAACUAAUCUAUUAAGUGAGGGAGUAAAAUGAAUAAUUAAUAGGCUAAUAGCCCAAACUAAUCUAUUAAGUGAGGGAGUAAAAUGAAUAAUUAAUAGGCUAAUAGCCCAAACUAAUCUAUUAAGUGAGGGAGUAAAAUGAAUAAUUAAUAGGCUAAUAGCCCAAACUAAUCUAUUAAGUGAGGGAGUAAAAUGAAUAAUUAAUAGGCUAAUAGCCCAAACUAAUCUAUUAAGUGAGGGAGUAAAAUGAAUAAUUAAUAGGCUAAUAGCCCAAACUAAUCUAUUAAGUGAGGGAGUAAAAUGAAUAAUUAAUAGGCUAAUAGCCCAAACUAAUCUAUUAAGUGAGGGAGUAAAAUGAAUAAUUAAUAGGCUAAUAGCCCAAACUAAUCUAUUAAGUGAGGGAGUAAAAUGAAUAAUUAAUAGGCUAAUAGCCCAAACUAAUCUAUUAAGUGAGGGAGUAAAAUGAAUAAUUAAUAGGCUAAUAGCCCAAACUAAUCUAUUAAGUGAGGGAGUAAAAUGAAUAAUUAAUAGGCUAAUAGCCCAAACUAAUCUAUUAAGUGAGGGAGUAAAAUGAAUAAUUAAUAGGCUAAUAGCCCAAACUAAUCUAUUAAGUGAGGGAGUAAAAUGAAUAAUUAAUAGGCUAAUAGCCCAAACUAAUCUAUUAAGUGAGGGAGUAAAAUGAAUAAUUAAUAGGCUAAUAGCCCAAACUAAUCUAUUAAGUGAGGGAGUAAAAUGAAUAAUUAAUAGGCUAAUAGCCCAAACUAAUCUAUUAAGUGAGGGAGUAAAAUGAAUAAUUAAUAGGCUAAUAGCCCAAACUAAUCUAUUAAGUGAGGGAGUAAAAUGAAUAAUUAAUAGGCUAAUAGCCCAAACUAAUCUAUUAAGUGAGGGAGUAAAAUGAAUAAUUAAUAGGCUAAUAGCCCAAACUAAUCUAUUAAGUGAGGGAGUAAAAUGAAUAAUUAAUAGGCUAAUAGCCCAAACUAAUCUAUUAAGUGAGGGAGUAAAAUGAAUAAUUAAUAGGCUAAUAGCCCAAACUAAUCUAUUAAGUGAGGGAGUAAAAUGAAUAAUUAAUAGGCUAAUAGCCCAAACUAAUCUAUUAAGUGAGGGAGUAAAAUGAAUAAUUAAUAGGCUAAUAGCCCAAACUAAUCUAUUAAGUGAGGGAGUAAAAUGAAUAAUUAAUAGGCUAAUAGCCCAAACUAAUCUAUUAAGUGAGGGAGUAAAAUGAAUAAUUAAUAGGCUAAUAGCCCAAUGUUAGCAAAUGCAGAAAUAACAAAGCUUAUGUUAGUUAGAAGAUUCCAAGAGUUAGUUACCAGCUAAUGACAUGGCAAUAGUUAGUUACAGAGUUUGUUAGAGAUAUUUUGUAUUCAUUCAUUGUAAGAGUAGUAUAUAUAAGCAUGUAUGUACAAAUUCACUGUAUCAAGACAUUAAUACAAUCUUCUUCCUUCUUCUUCUCUCAAAUGCUCUGUAAAUUCUCCAAGGUUUAAUCUCCAUUCAUGGAGUUAUCAAAGGAAGAGAAAGGGUAAACCCUUUUUUUUGUAGAGGAAAGUUAUCACAAGGUGCGAAAGAUGUCUCGUUAAUAUUUGAUUUAAAUAAAAAUAAUCAAUUAAAUUAUGAGAUAUUUUUAACAUGAAAAAAUAUUCUAGAAUUAUCAAAAUAAAAAUAAAAAUAAAACUACGAAGUAAAUGCAAAAAGUUUGAUUAUCAUAAAGAGAAACACACUAAUACUAACAAAGAGAACAAAAAAAAAAAAAUUAUAAUAAUUUUUUUAGUUUUAAAGAAGGUUAUAUAUAUAAAUAAAAUCAUUACGGACCAUUUAUUAAUAAAAUAAUAAAAUGAAAAAAUUUAUCCUAAAAAAUCAACGUAUGAUGGCAUCAUGGCAACAUGCAAGGUUUAAUUUGACAAAGUUUGACGUAUAGCAGGAUUAAUAUCUAGAAUCAGUUUCAUUACGAAGUUUUCAUUUUUUUAUUAGAAUGUUUUUUACUUUAUUUAAAAAUUAGUAUUUGUUCAUGAAAAUUUAAAAAAUCAUUUUUCACUUUUUUCAUUCGUGUUGAAGUAAUUCUUGAAUAAAUUAGAAAAUGAAAAUAAUCCCGAUGGUUCAGUUCAAAGUUUACAAUUGAGAAAAUCUGAUAGAAAAUUGCAAAGAACCACCAAAAAUUCAUGUUGAUUACUUAACAAGUAGUUUUUAGGUUAGCCGCAAUCAGGGGCAGGGUAGGGAUUCAGAUGAAUUCAAUAGUCGUUCCAUAUAUAUAUAUUGUAUUUGUAUUAGAAAAUUGAAUAAAUAAAUAUGUAUAUUAAUUUGUUAACUCUAAUAUCAGGGGCGGAGCUACACCUUAGCAUGGGUAGUUAGAUGAACAACCUUCGUCGAAUUGUUUUUUCAAAUAUAUAUGUUAAAUAUCGAUAUUUUUGGAUGUAUACUAAUUGUUGAACGACCUAGAUAUGCCAAAGAAAGAAAGAUAGCUCAAUGAUUAAGAUUGUUCAAAGUUGUCUCAAUGGCUUAGGUUUGAGCCCAAACUAAGGUGUUUUGUUUAAUUUUUUUUAGUUUCGUUUUUUUAAGAGAAUAAAAAUACGUUCCAAUCUUUAUAAUCUGAACAACAAGAUUUAUUUUUUCAAGUGUCCUAAACUAUAACCUCCCAUAAUACCAUCAUUGUUGUGAGUUUCUAUAUUUUUUUUAUCCAAUUUAAAAUUUAAUUGUGUUAGAAAAGGUUAGUAAAUAUAUUAUUUUUUUUAAAAAAAAAGCUUAAUAUGACAUGGCAUCUACUUAGCCAGGAGAGAGAUUUUGUUAGUUAAUUAUUUUUAAAAAAAAAUUAAAAAUAAUUGAAUGAAAUUAUAUUCGUUAAAGAAACAAAUCUCAAACACAAGACCCAUUCAUAAAAUUUACUCCUUAAUAUAGAAUAUAGGGUGAUCUUUGACAUAUUUAUACGCCUAAAAGCUAAAUGAAAUUGCCAAAGUCAUUGUUCAAUUUGCCUUAAUUGCUCCAAUAGUAUCCUUAAGUUGGUGCGAUAGGAUCAAAUUAAACUUCCAUUCUUAAAUUUAAUUCACCGGUCCAUCAUAAAGUUGGUGCCACUUUUAGUUAACGUUUUGGCCCACAAAUUUCCAAAUUUAUGGAAAGAUUUUUUUUUCAAAAAAAAAUAUUCAUUUAUAUUCAUAAGUUCUAAAAUUAUUUAAAAUAUCUGUAGACUUUGUAUCAUCAUUUUAUAAUGAAAACAUUUCAUGAAAUGCCAUGACAAUAAACAUAAUUAAUAUGAAUUUAAAAAAGAGGAAAAACACAAAGGGAAAAUACCAUUGGUAAUGGUUUGUAUAUGAAAAACUACUAUUACUAUUUGUAAUUAGAGGCGACUUAAAAAAAUUAAGCUCAAAUAAAAAUUGUAUAAAAUUUAGAUAUAAUGGUAUAAAUUUUGUACAACAAACUAGGAAUAAAAUUCAAUCCAAAACUAUAAAUAUGGGUGUUUUUAUAAAAUAUAAGUUUGGAUGAUCUUUAAAUUUUUUUAAUAUCACAAAUACUAGAAUUUGACCCAAAUUUUUAGAUUUUUUGGCCAACUUGGGAUGUUUAUCUAAUAUAUUUGCCAAAUAAUAAUAAAUUAUAUGACUAAACUUUAAUUUUCAAUUUUUUUUUCAAAUAUAUUUAUGGUCAAACAAGUUGCACUUUUUGUUUGGUUUUAAUUCAAAAUGUGUAUAUGCAACUAGUAAUCACCAUGAAGUUUCCUUAAAAGAAAAUUUGACUUUUCAUUUUCAGGAUAUCCAAAUGAAAAAUAUGGCGUUCCUCUUCUUCAUCAUUCCUCAUAAUAUACUAUAUUAAGAAAAUAUUUACCAUUUAUAACAAUAAUAUUUUCUUUUUCAUUUGAUCACUUUUAAUACAUUUAUAAUAUAAUUUUAAUAUAUAUUAUUGAGAACAAUUUAUAAAACACAUAUAAUACAAGUUUUAUUGAUGGAUAAUACAUUUAUCACACAUUUUUAAUACAAUGUGUCAAUUUUUUACCAAACAAGCAUAAUAUAUUUUAAACAGAUAUAAUACAUAUAUAUUGCAUACAUAAUUUACUUUUAAUACAUAUUGCAGAUUUAUUAUAAUAUUACUAUGGAUUGCUAUAAAUGGUAAUAAAUAAAAAGUAUCGCAAUUAUUUAUUAAAAGUUAUUCAAGUAUUUUUUCCUUUUUCCCUCCCUUUUACUUUUGCCUUAACUUGCCCAUCCAAUAUAGUUCUAUCAUGUUGCUUUAGUAAGAUAUAUUCUUCAACUUUUUUUCACGUUCUUUCCAAAAAAUCAAUUAAUUUCCAUCACAAAACAUGAAAUCUGCCACAAGAAUCAAUUAUAUAUAUAUAUAUAUACAAAACAUGAAAUCUGUCACAAGAAAUUUCUACAGCUAAAUUAUAUUAUUGUUCUUGUUUCUCGCUAAGGUUAAAAGAGAGUAAGAGAGUAAGAGAUUUCUUCGAUACUCUUAGUUCUUCAUCAUAUUACAUAGGUGUUGGUAAAUACGAGAUGAAAAACUAUAUACUUCCUCCGUCCUAUUUUAUGUGAGGUAGUUUGACUCGGCACAAAGUUUAAGAAAAAAAGGAAGACUUUUAAAACUUGUAGUCCAAAAUGAUUGAUAGAAAUUUGUGUGACCGUAAAUAAUUCAUUAAGAGUAAAAUAAACAUUUUAUAGUUAAAUUGUUACUUAAUAUAGAAAUGUAUCAUUCUUUUUGGGACUGACAAAAAGAUAAGUAAGUCACAUAAGUUGGGACAAAGGGAGUAAUUAUUAAAGAAUAUGUGCUCUAGAUUUUGGACGACAGGGGUACCAAUGUCCCCAAAGUAUGACGGAAGGUAUUUACAUACCAUUUACGAUACUUCAGCGAUAUAUUUGUCAUUCUCCCAUAUAUUUAUAUAUUUUAUUUUAUUUUUAUUUAUUUAUUAUUAUUAUUUUGGACGGUGGGGGUACCAAUGUCCCAAAAGUAUGACGGAAGGUAUUUACAUACCAUGUACGAUACUUCGGCGAUAUAUUUGUCAUUUUUCUCAUAUAUAUAAUAAUAUGUAAUCAAUCUAUGUCAUAAAUGGUUAUAAUUAUUACAAAAUUAAAUAAAUAACAAUACACUAUAUUGAUAAUUGACUCAAACUUUCAAAUUAAUAAACGGUGAUAAAAAAUUAUCCAAGUUCGACCCAUUAGCCCGGUGGGUCAAAACCUGAGCCGACCCAUAAAUAAAUUGCUUAACGGGUCAUGGACUAGUUUUUUCAGUGGAUUUACUGUUAGGCCAGUACCAGCCCGGCCCAUUAGUGGGGAACCCGAUCCGGCCCACUCCAAUAUAUCAAGAAACUUUUUAUAAUGGGCCGGGCUGGCUCGGCCUCCUUCAUUGAAAUAUGAUUCUUCUUGAAACUGCUGCAUUUUAUUUUGAGCAACUUUCAAAUAUAACAAACACAAAAAUUAUAUUUGUAUGCUAUAGCUAUAGUUUGCUUGAGCAACUUUCACAUAUAGCAAACACAAAAUUCAUAUUUGUAUGUUAUAGCAAAGUUUGCAUAAUUGCGCUCCAUAGCAAGCAUAAAUAUGUAUAUUUCGCUAUACAUAUACAAAAAAAGCAGUUGUAUAAUCUGUUUUGGUAUACAUAUACAAAAAGAUCAAUUGUAUAAAGUGAGAGAGGCGAGUGAGCGAGCGAGAUCUGGGAGAGUGGCGAGCGAGAUCUGGGAGAGGGGAGAGAGGGGAACGAAAAUAUAUGUAUAUAUACAAUUUUCUCUCGCUUUAUACAAACACAAACGCAUUUUAUACAAUUUGCGUUUUUUGUAUAAAGUGAGAGAGGCGAGUGAGCGAGCGAGAUCUGGGAGAGUGGCGAGCGAGAUCUGGGAGAGGGGAGAGAGGGGAACGAAAAUAUAUGUAUAUAUACAAUUUUCUCUCGCUUUAUACAAACACAAACGCAUUUUAUACAAUUUGCCGUUUUUGUAUAAAGUGAGAGAGGCGAGUGAGCGAGAGAGAUCUGAGAGAGCGGCAAGCGAGAUCUGGGAGAGGGGAGAGAGGGAAACGAAAAUAUAUGUAUAUAUACAAUUUUCUGUCGUUUUAUACAAACACAAACACAUUUUUUACAUUUGCAUUUGUAUAAAAAGCGAGAGAAGCGAGGGAGAGAACGAGAGUGGCGAGCGAGAUUCACAAGGAAAGAGGUGAAAUAGCAACAGUUUGCUACGGGGUACAAUUAAAUCAAACUAUAUUUAUAGCAUUUAAUCUGAAUUAACAGUUUGUUAUUAUAUACAAUUUUCACUUUUAUUUUCUUGAAGAGCCAUAUAUACCAUAGUAAUGUUUCAACUUUCAUAUCGAGAAAGCAGAAAAAAAAGGAAAUACACAAGAGGGGAAAAAAGAUUUGUACCUGUCAAAAAAGAAAACAUACUUAUAUAUUUACUAACAUAAUAAUAUGUAGUAAUACAACUUUUUCUAUACCAUGAAAUUCACAACAACAUUGUUACGUUUUUUUGGUAAUUAGUUGGAUUUUAAUAAUCACCAAAGGAAGCAUUAUAAAACCACAACCAGAUUCAAACACAGUCUGUUGUCUAGCCUUUAAACCCAACACUACACUAGGGGGUUAUGGAGGACUUAGCCAUAUCGACUAUAUCACUCCACAUCCCAACAAGAGAAUCAAGAUAUUCUACUGGGGAGGUCUAGAGAGUCAUUUAAAAUUUAUACUGCUGCAAUAGAUUACUGAUCAUAGGCUGCGCUCUGGCAUUGCAGGUAAAUGCUAUGUCUUUUGCAAUCAUCUCCAUCGCUCUGGUUUUCUUCUCAAAUUGUCUUUGGUUCCUUUUCGUCCAUAUCGCGUGAAUUGUUUCAGUGUACACCAUUUUGAAAAGUUGAGCCUUCAGUGCUUUACCUUUGGCAUCCCUUUUGACUCCAGCUAGGUGGUUCUCCCAAUCACUUGUGGUUAGUGUUGUUCUUUUGAGCCAAGAGCAGAUUCUAGUCCACAAAGAACUAGCAAGAGAGCACUGGACAAACAAGUGAGUUCUAGUUUCCAGGCAAGCAUUGCAAAAAACACAAUGAGGUUCUACACUCAUGCCCCAUUUAAAGAGUGUAUCCUUCGUGAGUAACCUAUCUUGUAAAUAUAGCCAUAGGGAGAAUAUAACUUUAGGUCUUGCCUCAUUAUUGUACAUCAUGACCUUCCAUGGUACUCUUUCUGUAACCUCCAAUAGAUGCAAGUAAACUUGUCGUAUGAUACUCACCAGACCAAAUGUAGCUUCUACAGUUUGCCUCUAUAGCUGUCAGUACCUUCGUUGGAAUUUGAAACAGUUGCGACCAGAAGGCCAGUAUACCAAAUAAGACUGUUUGUACCAGCUACAUCCUUGCAACGUAAGAUAGAUGUUUCGGAACAUCUUUUUGGUUGAUAGAGGUACACCUAGAUAUCAAAAAGGCAUUUCGCGUUGAGUAAACUCAAGUUGAGCCAAAAUUUGGUCUUUAAUAGCCAAUGAUACCCUUCCAAAAUAUACAGAGCUUUUAUCCAAAUUUGUUUGUAGUCCAGAGAAUGCUGAAAAUCUAUUAAAAACCUGUUGAAUAGCCGUAACAGAAGGCAAGUCACCCUUAGCAAAAAGAAGUAGGUCGUCUGCAAAGAUAAGAUGAGUUAUUCCAAGCUUAGCACAUCUGGGAUGAUGUGCAAAACUUAGGAAUUAUGUUAGGGUAUUUAGCCCUCUACUCAAGUAUUCCAUAGAAAUAGAAUAUGAGACAUAGGAUUCCCUUAUCUAAGCCCUUUAGCAACAUCAAAAGGAGGAGUUGGUUCACCAUUAACAAUGAUUGAGUAGUUAGCGGCUGUCACACAUUCCAUAAUCCAUCUCAUUGAUAACAAACAUGAUCAUGUAUUUAACUUAAAAUUACAACAACAAUUGAAAUCUCGAAACAACCUGAAAAAUAAUUAUGGUACUUAAUAAGUAAAACACACACAUUACACAUUACAUAACAAUCAAAAUUAGAUAGGAAGAUUAAACAUUUGUUUCAUUGGAUAAAAACCCAUAUUCAUCCUCCUCCUUAGAUAGUUCCAAACACUAAUUUCACUCUGAAAAUACGAUUCUUCUUCGAAUUUUUGUAUAAUUUUCUCGAAAAUUUAAAUUAACAUUUUGCCUCCAGAAAGCAAAAAACAGAGGAAAUACAAAGCAUGGGAAACAGGGUAGGUGAACAGAACAGAACAGAACAGAAGAAGUGGAAGCCAAAGAUAGAGAAGUAAAGAAAAUCAUAACAUUGUGUAUGAGGUCGGAGAAUUUCCUGUACAUAUAAUGACGAGAAAAUCUGUGCUUAAUAGCGUAUAUUAAAGAGUAUAGGAGAAAACAAGUGACAGAAACUCUCAUUAUUUUGGGAUCAGUGCCUUGAUAUUUUAGGUGUAUAAAGUUGAGUAAAAUGGUGAAGAAAAAAUCCAAGAAUUGUGAAGGGACUACUCUGUUCCUGCAUGAAAAUCGAAUUGAAAAAGGCUCUCCAUGCCUGGAGGACAAUUCUUGCAUUAUUAUAGGCAAAUAAAAAAGGGUUGAUCGAUGAUGAAGGAGGAGAAAUGGUGUGCUUUAUAAAGGUUAGGUAUCACCACGAAAGUUAUCACAAGGUGCCAAAGCCUUUUGUCGUACCAUUGACAUGGGAUAUUGGCUUUUGGGAUUUUGUACGGUGACUAGCGUCAAUCCAAAAUUAUAUCAUUUCAAUUUUUUGACUAUUUUAUAAUGUAUAAUCAAAAUUAAAUUUAUUAUAGCUAUCUCAAUCAUAUUGGUUAUUUUUUUGUUUUUUUAUUUACUAAUAAAAUAUCACCUCAAAAUAUACUAUUAUUAAAAUAUUUAUUUCACAAAUAUGCACUUCAAUUUUUCACUAAAAUAAUCAAGAAUGUAAAACCUUGUUGUCAUAUUGUUUGAUCUUAAACAUUUAAUAGGAAUGUUUACAUAGGUUUUGUCGUAUUGUUUGAUGGAGUAUAUAUUAUAAUAUUUUUUUUAAUUUUAAACAUAAUUAAUUAAACUUUUAUUAAAGAGCAAAGACCCAAAGUCAUCCCGUCACCAAAGACCUAGGACCUACGUUUAUUUUAUUUUUUUCAAUUUGUUGUUUGCGGUUCGAUUUUGAUGACCCAUAUAUUUUGUUAACUGUUAAAGAAUGACAAAAGUCCACAUCGGUGGUUAAUCAGAUGGGUGGACUUCUUAUAAGGCUUGGGCAAUCCUCCUCCCUUUGAGCUAGCUUUUGGGGUGUGAGUUAGGCCUAAGACCUAUUCUAACAUGGUAUCAGAGCCCAGAUCGUGAGGAAUUGAUCUGCGUAGAAGAUAGAUAAGGAUUACGAAGCUGUAGAAGAAGCUUCAAAAUCAAUCCAGAAUGACGGGAAACAAAAUUCCAUCGGCAAUAGGGAAUAAAGUUACAACCCUAAAUCACAAUCAUCCAUUGUAUCUCCAAGCUUCAGAUGCUUCUGGAAUAGUUUUGGUGCCAAUCAAACUAACAGGGCCAGAAAACUAUGCUUUGUGGAGUCAAUCAAUGAAAUAGGCCCUCAAAGGAAAAGGAAAACUUGGAUUCGUUGAUGGAUCUUGUGCGAAAGCAUCUUAUAAAGGAGUACUAGAAGAACAAUGGGAGAAGUGUAACGCGAUCGUGUUAUCAUGGAUUGCGAGCACUGUUACAGGUGAAUUGCUACUAGGGAUAAUAUAUGCUUCAAAUGCAAAGAAGGUUUGGGCAGAUUUUGAGGAAAGGUUCGUUAGAUCAGAUCUCACCAGAAUCUAUCAUUUGUGGUCUGAAAUUGCAGCUCUUAAACAAGGUAUUGACUCUGUGACUUCAUACUAUUCAAAAUUGAGGGACUUAUGGGCUGAAUUGGAUGUGAUGAUCCUUUCACCUGGGUGUGCAUGUGAGGAUUCAGCUAAGUAUGUGGAGCAUUUAAGGUCACAAAGAUUGCUGCAGUUCCUAAUGGGAUUAAAUGAAAGCUUUGGUCAUAUUAGGAGUAGUAUCUUGGCUAAGGAGCCUAUUAUAACUAUCAAUGAAGCAUAUGCAAUAGCAGCACAAGAGGAAAGUCAGAGAACACUAGGAGUUUUGGACAAAACAAGAGAUCCGUUAACACUCUUAGUAGGAAGAACUCACCGAGGCAGACCUAAACCAAAGAAAUUUGUGCCAACAGGUACAAUAUGUGAUCACUGUGGAUUCAAAGGGCAUUUUAAGGCUGACUGCUACAUGUUGGUAGGGUAUCCACCAGAUUUUCAAAGCAAGAGGAAAGGAUCUGAUGGUUUCAAUGAAAUGAGAGGAACUGAGAAUUUCAAAUAUGAUGUCAAAUCAAAUGCACAUUUCACUAGGAAUGCUGAUGACUUCACAAAGGCUACUGAAAAUCAGAUGUCAUCAUCUUAAUAUGAGGAUCUGGUGAACAGGAUGGAUAAGGCAAACACAUCAGACUGUGUUGCUAACAUGUCAGGUAUGGCUUCCUUAGAUUCCCAAACAGGUCAAGUUUGUGAAUGGAUAAUUAAUAGUGGAGCCACACAUCAUAUUACACCUAAUGAGGAAUUAUUAAUUGCUAGUAGAAGAAUACAAGACACUAAUACUGAUGGAGUCCAGGUGCCUACAGGAAAUAGAUGUAACAUAAAAAAUAUUGGGAUCACAAAGGUUUUAGAGAGGCGUAAACUUAAGAAUGUAUUACAUGUACCAGACUUCAAGUUUAGUCUGCUUUCAGUCUCAAAACUAACCAUGGAACUAGCUUGUUCAGUUUCCUUUUACCCUGACUUUUGUGUGUUUCAGGGACUUUACGAUGGCAAGGUAUUGGGGAUUGGUAAAGAAAAUGAAGGGCUAUACAUACUAAAGAAUCAAAUAAAGCCAGCAAUGCAUGAUAUGGUUGCUAAGAAUAAAGAUGGAGACACGAAGCUAUGGCACUUAAGGCUAGGACAUGCUUCAACAGGUUGAUGCAGAAUAUUCAGUCAUUAAAGCAUCUCUCAGACAUAAAUGUACAACACAACUGUGAGAUUUGUCCUUUAGCUAAACAAUGUAGACUAAAGUUUCUAGUUAGUGAAAGCAAAACAUUUAGAGCAUUUGAAUUAGUUCAUGUUGAUGUUUGGGGACCCUACAGACAGCCUACUUUUGACAAGAAGCAUUACUUUGUCACUAUAGUAGAUGACUACAGUAGAUACACUUGGCUUUGUCUCAUUCACUCUAAAAGUGAAGUCAUUGUAGUACUCAGGGAUUUUAUUGCUUUAAUAAAGAAUCAGUUUGCAAUGUCUGUGAAAAUUUUAAGAUCUGAUAAUGGAAUUGAGUUCUUUAAUUCCUCAGUUACUAAUUUGCUUGCUUCGAAUGGUAUAAUACAUCAUAGUAGUUGUGCUUACACUCCUCAGCAGAAUGGUACAGUGGAAAGAAAACAUAGACACAUAUUAGAAGUGGCCAGGGCAUUAAGGUUUCAAAGAUUUCUUCCUAUUCAAUUCUGGGGUGAGUGUGUUAGAACUGUUGUAUAUCUAAUCAAUAAGUUGCCUACUGAUUUGAUAUCAUGUUAGAUUAGGUCUUAGGCCUAACUUACACCCCAAAAGUUAGCUCAAAGGGAAGAGGAUUGCCCAAGUCUUAUAAGGAGUCCACCCAUCUCAUUAAUUACCGAUGUGGGACUUUUGUCAUUCUUUAACACCCCACCUCACGCCCAGUGCUUAGCAUCUGGUGCGUGGGCAAUUUUUGAUUUUUGGGGCCCCAACAUCGGGUGAGACGGGCCCUGCUUUGAUACCAUGUUAAGUUUCUUCUAAUAGAACAUAUUGAUAAUCAUGUAGAGAGCAUUUGAGAUUGAAAGAGGAGAGAAGAUAUUUUUAUAUGUGUAAAAUGUCAAGUACACAUCCUUUUAUACAUUCAGCUACAGUACUGUAUUGUUAUAACUAACUUUCUACAGUAAAGUUAGUUAUAACUAACUGCAGUCUAUUAACUAACUACACAUCUAAUCACUGACUAAUCUUCUACUUAUUUAAUAGUUACGUACACAUUUAGAUGAGAGAUAUGUAUCCUAUUUAAUUUCAAAAGGUCCAAAUUAUAUUGUAUCACAACCAUGAUUGAGUUAAUAAAAUUUAUUUUAAAAUAAAUAAAUAAUAAGUCAACAAAUUGCAGAAGACUACCCUCCAACUUUGGUAAGAACAAGAUCCUUGAAAAUUUUGAUAUCCUAUUAACAUAUAUAAUUUCAUAUUAUAUUUUUAUAUUUAAAUUUGUUGACUUAACUAUGAUUUUGAUAUAAUUUUGAUGUUUCAAAAUUAAAUAAAAUACAUGUCUUUCAUUUAGAUAUAUAUAUUUGAAUCUUUUGGGAGAGAAAGUGUAAUAGAUAAGAGCCAAAUCUGAGAAGUUUAAAGUUGGAAACUAAAUUAUGUAUAAAUGAGAAUAAAAAUUACAAUAACACUCAAGUAGUUUUCUUUUUCUUUUAUUCAUUGACAUUAUUAUAUAAAUUCUGAAAAUCAUUUUUAAAGGCAUCAAAGUGCCAAUCUAUGAAGAUUGUGACAAUAAAAAUAAACGGAGAAGAGAAUAGUAGUUUUCAUUAAUCAGCUUUAACUUGUGUGCAGAAUAUCAUUAAACAAAACACAAUAUCACAAAUCUUUAUUAAUUUCAGGAUGGAAGAUCCAAUUACUCCCUCCGUUUCACAAAGAAUGACCUGGUUUGACUUGGCACGGAGUUUAAGUAAAUAAAGAAGACUUUUGAAUCUUGUGGUCCUAAAUUAAAGUUAUGUCAAAUGUACAAAAUUGCCCUUAAUCUUGUGGUCUUAAACAUGCCACGUGGAAAGCAAAAAGUAAAAUGUUACCAAAAAAGGAAAAAGGUCAUUCUUUUUGAAACUGACUAAAAAGGAAAGGAGGUCAUUCUUUGUGAAACGGAGGGAGUAUUUUUUUUUAUGAAGAAUACUGUUUUAAGACUCUUCACCUAUGGACUUCCUAUAUAUUUGGAUAAUAUUUCUUGAUUUCUUACUAAAUCACUUUUGCUAACUUUCUUGUAUUAGAGUUGAAUUAAUUCAAAUUCACGUCAAAUAGGGUUCAUUUGAGGUAGCGCUACAAGUAAUUAGCCUUUUAACUAAACUCUUAACUUGUACUGAAGUCGUACUAAUUCAAAUUUGUGUAUUCAGGAGUAGCGCUCCGACUGUCAAUAAGAGAUAAUCUAUGAAAUUGGUCCAAGUGGUCACUACAUUGCCCAUCUUCCUCAUAAAAUUGCAGACAGUUCCACCCGUCCUUCACUGAAAAUACUAUUCUUCCUGAAAUUAUUUUCUUGAAGAACAAUAGACCAUAGUAACGUUUCACCUCGAGAGAGCAGAAAACAGAGGAAAUACACAACAGGGAAACAAGAUUUAUAGCUUCUCACAAUAGUAAUGAUAACAAGCAUGAUCAUAAUUCAUACAUUUAACUUAUUAUUACAAUGGCAAUUGAAAUCUCAAAACAACAUGAGAAUUAAUCAUGGAACUAAUUAGACAGUAAGAGUAAACCUCUGUUCCAUUGGAUAAACAAUCAUAUUCGUCCUCCUUCUUAGAUAGUUCCAAAUUGGUUCACCACUCAUCCUCCUUCUCUGAAAAUACCGUUCUUCUUCUUCUUCCAAUUUUUGUAUAAUUUUCUCGAAAAUCCGAAGUAGCAUUUCGACUCCGAAAGCAGAAAACAGAGGAUAUACAAAACAGGGGAAACAGAGUCCGGGAAGAGAACAGAGGCAGUGGAAGCUAUAUGCAAAUUACUUUUUAACAAUAACUUUUAAGGAAUUUGUAAAAGGAAAACAUGACAAGUAAAAUGAACCGGAGGGAUUAAUUUCAUUGCACUUUGGAAGAUAUUCGACACUAUUCUUGGUGAAAAUGUUUUUUCAUGAAUGAACUCAAUAUAUUUUCCUUCAAAAUCUAAUUUUCCUUCAAAAUCUUGUUUUUAGAACUUUUAAGAUUUCCCUCAAAUUUUGGAUUGUCUUUAUUAUCUCCCGUUCAAUUUUACUUGUCGAAGAAGCAAUAAAUAGAUAGUUUCGGUAGGAUUAAAGUUUAAGUCAUGUGUUAUUUUAUAAGAGUUAAGUUUAGUUAAUUGGUAAUUUAUUUGUCUAUCCUAUUUAUGUUGAUUACCUAAGUAGAAGUUUAUAGGUUAGUCCCAAUCACGUGAAUAAUUUGACACUUGACGAGAGAAACAAAGAAUAACAUAUAUGGAGUUCGGGGAAGAUAUGAAAAAUAAUUAUAACGGAGGACGGAGUAAGAGUGUUGCCUAUGCUCUAUAGGUAUCGUAAAUUUAGCACAAAUACUAUAUUUAGGUUUAUAAAUAGAAAAAUAGAUCAAGGACGUCGUAAAUUGCCCUUUUUAAAAUUUAGAAUUCAUAAAUUCAAAAUUCAAGUUUAUUCGAGGUCCGAAGACAUGCAUGAUAUGCAUCUAACUUAAUAUUACAACAAUAACAACUGAAAUCUUGAAGCAACAUGAGAAACAAACAUAGUACAAAGUACAGAAUUAGACAUGAGAAACAAACAAACAUAGUACUUAAAUCUCUCAUUCUCUGUAUAUUUCUUGCAAAAUUAGACAGUAAGAGUGAACCUCUGUUCCAUUGGAUAAACAAUCAUAUUUGCCCUCCUUCUUAGAUAGUUCCAAAUUGGUUCACCACUCCUCCUUCUCCGAAAAUACGAUUCUUCUUCUUCUUCGAAUUUUUGCAUAAUUUUCUCGAAAACCCAAAGUAACAUUUCGCCUCCAGAAAGCAGAAAACAGAGGAAAUACAGAAGAGGGGAAACAGAGUCUGGGAAGAGAACAGAGGCAGUGGAAGCCAAAGACAGAGAACUAAAGAAAACCAUAACACGGUGUACCAGGUCCGGAGUAUUUACCUAUAAAUAGGAUGACGAGAAUAUCUCUGCUUAAUUCCGUAUAUCAAACAAUAUACGAGCAAAGAAUUGACAGAAACUCUCCUUGUUUUCGGAUGGGUCAAAAAAGGAUCAGUGCCUUGAUAUUUUAGCUGUAGAAAAUUGAGGAGAAUAGUGAAGAAGAAUCAAAGAAUGGUAAGGGAACAAGUUGUGGUGCUCUGUUCCUGGUAUAUAUAGAAAAUGUAGGAUUGUAUAGCCCUUAAAGUGGAAUAUGCUUGGAACAAAGAUAGUCCAAUUCUUGAACUAUUAGCCAUUUGAACAAUUGAAGUUAAGAGACAAGAUGAAAUAAAUAAUGUUUAUAUAUAGAGAAGCACCGUGUGUAACAUCAUAAAGGUGUAUCAAUGUCACAUCAUAAGGAAGAAGAAGGGCCGGUGGACGUGAGGAAAUGGAGGAAACGACAUAUGUGAAAAAAAAAGAAUAAUUUGACUUGUUAAUGAACCAUUAAUUAAGGAGUUUAGAUUUAAGAUAGAGAUAAGGGUCUGCAAAAUAUCUCAAUUUUGAUCGAAUUUGUUGUUGCGAUACUAAACUUUCAUAAGGACCUAUUACCUUCCUAGACUAUUUACUACCGUAUUUUAAACAUAUAUAUUUUCCCACGUGAACAUAAAAAAUAGUUUAGGGAGGUAAUAAGUCCUCAUGAAAGUUUAGUAUCGCAACAGCAAAUUCGACCAAAGUUGGAGUAUUUUUCAGACCCUUAUCCCUUUAAGAUAAUUAUUCAAUUCCUUAUUUAAAGGAUUUGUGUAUCUGAUUAAAUCUUUUAAAAUAUAUGGUAUAACUAUUAAAAGUGAUAGUAUGUGUAAUUGUUUUACUAGAGGUAAAUAUAGUAUAUAUGGUAGUGAUGUAUGUGUAAUUACGUAGUAGUCCAAAAUGUAGCUGAACCAUAAGUCCCAAAUCAUUAGAAAAGUAUUAUUACAAACCGAAUCACAAAUUACAAAACAUUCAUAGAAAAGUAGUUACUAAAAUUGAGCAAGUAUGAUUAAAUAGUCUCUCUACCUCUCCAAAGCAGAUAUCAUCCUUCGCAAAUUGCAUCAGUGAAAUUACAUUGAAUAUGUUAUUGUUGUUAUUGAUUUAUUGAAAUAAUUCACGAAUUUUCAAAUUCUAAAAUAUCUAUUAUUUUGAAAUAAAAUGAAAUAACUAAAAUAUCAUUUAUUUAGAAAUAUAGAAACUAGAAAGUAUUGACUAAGAUAGGCCGUCGGUUGUAUAGAAACUAGAAAGUAUUGACUAAGAUAGGGCCGUCGGUUUUUGCACAAUAGAAAUUGACAGUUGAAAGUUGAACGUAACGAUCCAUUUUAUUUAGCAUUUCUGUGAAAAUGUCUUCUAGCCCACGUCUCCUUUUCUAUUCAGUGUCUGUCUUAUACUCUGCUACUAAGUUGAUGAGUCAAACAUAUCCUUAUUGUUUUUGAAAUGAUGCAAAUAUACUCUUUUUUGCUAACAGAUUUGCAUUUUUGAAUUAAAAAAAUAUUUACUUUGUUUUUACAAAUAAAUUUAAAAAAUCCAUGUGAUUUUAUUUUAAAACUGUUCAGUUAAUUUUUUAACCAACCUGAUCCGACCCAAACAAAAACAAAAACCAAGAUUCCUUACUAGAACCCAAAUUCCCCCUUCUUUUGAUGAUUUGUGGUUUAUGUGUUCUAGAAGGGAAUUUGGAUUUAUUUAUUUUUUGUUUGUUUGGGUCGGAUAGGAUUGGUUAAAAAUUAAUGGAUCAGUUUUAAUAAAAUCAUGUCACUUUUCAAAUUUUAAAAGAUUAGGUAAAUAUUUUUAAUUCAAAAAAUAUAAAUCUAUGAACAAAAAAAAGAAAAUACAUUGCAUCAUUUCAUAAAUGACAAAAGUAUAUUUAUCCCACUUUGUUAACAAGAGAUAUAUCUAUUUUAAAUCAGAAAGUUACUAUUCAGGGCACAACCAAUAGUGUAAUUAUAAGUUCAGCAUACCUUAAUAGAUCCUUUAUUUAUUUUUUUUGUAUUUAAAUUUCGUAUUUGAAUAAUAUUGUGAUUUGUGAUUUUCCUAGUAAUACCUGUUGUAAUAUUUUAAUUUUCAAAAGCAUGGUGUAUUGAAUUAAAUUUGUUAAAAGGACUUCAGGGGGAAAAUGUAUAAGUGGAGUGGAGUAUAUGAAUGGCCGCAUUGCUUGACAUUUUUGGCGAGAGUUUAGUUUUGUCGUUGACCUGAGAAUGUAAAUGUAUUACUAUUACUUUACUUAAUUAAAAUCAUAUUGAAUUUUAACAUGAAGAAUAGGAAAAAAAAUAUUCAUGAAAUUAGUUGAGAUGGUCACACCUAUUCACUACAAUGUUGAGAAGAAACCACGCAUGUAUUAAGGACUAUGACUAUGACAAACGAGUUGCAGCUAGUUGAACUGAGUUGGCAUACGAGUUAGUUAGGCAGGCAAGGCAGAGUUUGUUAGAAGACAUUUUAUACAAUUAACCAUAGUUAGUAGAUUGUUAGUUAGUAUAUGUGUGUAUAUUAAAGGUCCUAACUACAUUCAUUUGUAAUCACUAAUCAGUUGACUCAAUACACAAAUUUUAUUCAAUGCGAUGAAGUUUUUAUUUUCUUAACUGCUUCCAUUUAUGACUUUCACCAUUGACAGUGUAUUGAUUCACCAAUUCAACAGCAUGUUCAUCCUCAUCUUCAUAUAAUUGUAUAGAAUUCCAGCCCUCUUUCACUGAAAAUACGAUCGUUGUUGAAAUUAUUUUCUUGAAGAACCAUAGACCAUAGUAACGUUAGCAGUACACAACAGGGAAACCUUCUCAAAAAUGAAAACAUAUAUAGUUGUAUAUAACAUACUUAUCUGUAGUGAUACAAAUUUUUCUAUAACAUGAAAUUCAGAAAAAACGAUCACAUCCACAUGACCUAAGAAAAAAGUAGUACAACAAUAUUAUUGUCACUAGACAACAAUUGAAAUCUCGAAAUAAUCAGUAAACACACAACAUACGUAAGAAUUUUUUUAAAAAAAUCAAAAUUAGACAGUAAGAGUAAACCUCUGUUCCAUGGGAUAAACAAUCAUGUUCGUCCUCCUUCUUAGAUAGUUCCAAAUUGGUUCACCACUCAUCCUUUCAGAUUCUUCUUCUUCGAAUUUUCGCAUAAUUUUCUCGAAAACCCGAAGUAACAUUUUGCCUCCGAAAAGCAGAAAACAGAGGAAAUACAGAAGAGGGGAAACAGAGUCCGGGAAGAGGACAGAGGCAGUGGAAGCCAAAGACAGAGAACUAAAGAAAACCAUAACAUGGUGUACGAGAUCGGAGAAUUUCCUGUACAUAUAAUGACGAGAAAAUCUCUGAUUAAUACCGUAUACUAAACAGUAUAUGAUCAAAGAACUGACAGAUACUCUCAUGGUUUUCGGAUGUGUCGUAAAAGGAUCAGUGUUGUUAUUGCCUUGAUAUUUUAGCUGUAGAAAAUUGAGUAGAAUUGUGAAGAAGAAUCCAAGAAUGGUGAGGGAGCAAGUUGCGGUGCUCUGUUGGUGGUACAUAUAGAAAAUGUAGGAUUGUGUAGCCAUGAAAGUGGAAUAUGUUUGGAAUAAAAAUAGGCCAAUUCUUGAAUUAUUAGCCAUUGAAGUUAAGAGACAAUGCAAGAGAGUAAUGAAGAAGAAAGAUGCAAGUAGCCAUGUAUUUAUAAAGAUGUUCAUUGUCUUAUGUCUAAGGAUUGUAAUGUAAUAUCACUUACUUGUCCAUGUAAGUGACCUAGGUUAAGAGUUGUAGUAACCUGGGUUAAGAGUUAUAGUUAAGGAUUGUAAUGUAAUAUCACUUACUUGAGUGACCUAGGUUAAGAGGUUAAGAGUUGUAGUAACCUGGGUUAAGAGUUAUAGUUAAGGAUUGUAAUGUAAUAUCACUUACUUGUCCAUGUAAGUGACCUAGGUUAAGAGUUGUAGUAACCUGGGUUAAGAGUUAUAGUUAAGGAUUGUAAUGUAAUAUCACUUACUUGUCCAUGUAAGUGACCUAGGUCAAGACAUGUAGUUAUAACAUCACUAUCUUGUCCAUGUAGUUAACAUAUAUGGGAGUUUUUAUUUUUUUUAUUUUUCAUCAUCCAGUAUCCACGUUGAAGUCGAUUAAAUAUGAAUUCACGUCGGAAAGUCUCACAUUAAAAGUAAAUCGCUCCCUAAAAAUGUGACUUCGCAUUCAAGAAGAUUCAAACUCAAGAUCUCUAACUAAGAAUAAAGAAAUACUUGUCACUCCACGAUAACUCUCAUUAGUUGGGUUAUAAGUUGUAGUUAAGCAUAUAAAUUUGGUCCCUUAAAUUUUACUAUUUAAAAGGGAAGUAAGACAUUAGACAUACAUGGCCAACGGGCAACCGGGGGGAAUUGUAAUUUGUGCUCCUAGCAAUACGUGUUACUCUUCCCUCUUGUUGUUAAAAGAACUUUAGAGGAAACUAUAUGUAAGUGGAGUAAUUAUAAAUGCCCGCAUUUCUUGACUUUUUUGGCAAUUUUUUUUAAAAAAUUUAUCAUUUGAUAUUGAAGUUUCUAAUUUGAUUUACACUGCGUAAAGUUUUAUUUGGGAAGGAAAGAAUUUUUUCAUAUUCAAAGUUUAAAUCUGAAUAUUUGUUUUCUUAAAUUUUAUGUCAAAUUAAAAAAGUUUAAAUAAAUUAAAACAAAAAAAGUAUGUCCGAGUAAAAUCCGACCACAUAAUUAAGAGUUUUAAGUUGUGUAGAUUAAAAUUUAUCAAAUUAAAUCACUUGUAAAACAAAUAUACAUAAAUAUUUGUGACAAACACUGUAUUAAUAAUCUUACAUACAAUAAAAACUUAUUUUUCAAAGAAAAAAACAAAAGAAUGAUAAUUACACAGGUUAAACUAUCUUACACAUUAUUAAUUAAAAAGGAGAAUUUUCGUAAAUGCCACUAUAGUAAACUUAAUUAUGCUUCAUAGUUAUAGCUUGCAUAUUUAUCGACUGUAACUAUAGUUUAUGUUGUCUCAUUUGUAUAAUUUGCGGGUACGUUUGUAAUAAUUGAGUUAUUUUUGUAUAAACUUGAAAUAAUGAAUUUAUACAAACACAAACAUCUACUUUAAACACUUAUACAAAUUAUAUUAUACAAAAUUACAUUAUACAAAAAUUAAUACAUAUUAUAUUAUACAAAUUCUGAAUUAUACAAACGUGCGGGCUUACAAAUUUGAAACCCUAGCACACGUAAUUAUCAUUGAAUGUUGAUCGCAAGUGAUAAUUAACUAAUAUUAUAAUGAUGAUGACUACCUAACUAGUAUACAUAUACUUAAUUAUAUAAUUUUCCCAAUCAAAAAUAAGACUAUGACUAACCGUAACAUUGUAAUCGAUAUAAGUGGGCUUGGAUUUUAAAAUAAUAAAACCUUCAAAGGCCACUAAGCCUAAAGGACAAACACACAUCUUUUACUUGCACUUUUAUCAAUUAAUCAAUGUUAAUUAAUACACAUAUUUGAUUCGUAGUGCUUGUUAAAUUAUUAAAGAUAAGAGUUUGUACUAAUCAUAGAAAAAAAAUUAAAAAAGACCUGGGUCAAACAACUUAACAAUAUCAACCAAAGAUAAGAGUUUGCACUAAUCAUAGAAAAAUUAAAACGACCUCGGUCACUAUAAUUCACACAAUAUAAUAGAUGGACUAACAUGAAAUUAACUAUAUUUGCUCAGAUCAUGUAUUCGUUAAACCAAAUAUUGAAUAUUUAUAGGUAGAUAUAUUCACGAUUUGGUUAUAAAUUAAACUAAAACACAAAUCAAGCCGACUAAAAAAAAUAACAUUAGAUUUCGUUUGGUUUUGAAUUUUUAAAACCAAAACCAUUUGGUUUGGUUUUGAGUUUUACUAUUAAAAAAGCUGGUAAAAUAACCAAAUCAAACCAAUAAAUUAUAUACACAAGUUUUUAUAAUUAUAAACAUAUGAUAUUAGAUUUUCAUAAAUAACUAUAGUAUUUUAUACCUUUUAAUUAUUAAUUUAACUAUAAUUGACAUAAAUCUCACAAUGUUUAUAGCUAAUUAUAAUAUUUUCCUAAUAUUUUUCAAAUUACAAGAAUUCCUUAUAAUUUAUGGAUUUUCCGGAUACAUCAUUGGACUUGUAAAUACAUCACUAGACUUCCAGAUACAUCAACAGACAUCCAGAUACAUAGGGGAGGGGUGUAUCCGAAAGAUGAUAAGAUAUCCGGAUACAUAGGUGAGAGAUGUAUCAGAGAGGGUAGGGAUAUAUUCGAGAGGGAAGAGAUGUAUCAGAGAGAGGAGGGAUGUAUCCGAUAGGGAGAGAGGGAUGUAUCAGUGAGAGGGGAGUGAUGUAUCCGAGAGGGAGAUAGGGAUGUAUCAACGAGAGGAGAGUGAUGUAUCCGAGAGGGAAUUUUUGAAUUAUUUUAAAUAAUAGAGAAUUUUAGAAAUUAAGGUAAAAUAACAUGUAUAUUUAGAUAAUUUUUCCAUAAUUUAAUUUGAGUCUACUUCUUCCACAUGCGCUACAACAUUUUUAUUUCUGUUUCUUGAAGGAUGCUCAACCUCAACACUCUACUUUUCCUGUUUGGUCUAUAGGUGGUGUGGUAUAUAUAUCGUCUGCUUUUGAUUAUUUUUUUCGAAGAGUUAGGUAAUCAUUUUAUUUAAAGUUAGGAUAUUAUUUUGUAUAUUUUGGUAUAGCUAUGCAAUUUAAACAUGAUAAAAAUUUGAAAAAAUGAUAAAAAGAUUGAGACACAUUCAUCUUAGAGAAGUUUUAUCCAAUUUUAGAAAGAUAAAAACUAGAUAGAUAUAAAAUUUAAAUUUCUAGCUUCACUUAGAGAGGUGCAUCCAACCAUCACAUUAUAUGAUACUUUAAGUGUGGGUUCACACAUUUAUAUUUAAGUAUUUAAUUAUUUUUUUUAUAAUACUAUUAUAUAUGAUUUUGGAAGGAGAGCAUUGAUUUACGUGCACUCGGAGAACCCCACUUGGAUACGCCCCCGGAGAAAAUGAUCAAAAUGAUCCUUAAUAUGAGUAAUACUUUAUCUUGGUACUUAAUACAUUUCAUUUGAUUGGAAUGGUCUUUAAUUUAUAACAAAAAUAUUCAUUUUAGUCCGUAAUAUAGUUCAUUUGAUUGACAUAGUCUUUAAUAUAUAACAAAAAUAUUUAUUUUGACCCUUAAAAUAAAAUAAUUAACUAUUCCAACUAUUUUAAUUAUUUUAUUUUAUUUUUCUUUUUAAUGGAUUUUAAAAAAAGGUCACAAUUUUAAUUUUAAUUUCAACUUACACAUUUAAGACCAUAAGAUUUAUUUUUUUAAUACAUUUAAUAUAUGAUUUAAGAUCACAAAAAUAAACAAUAUCACAUAUAUUAGGAUGAAAAGAAUAGCUAUUGUUGACACCCAAUUUUGACCCUCCCCGAUGUAAUUUAAUCAUCGAGCUUCUUAAAUUUCAAACGAUUUCGAAUAAUUAGUUUUAGAAAAAUUAAAAAAUAAAAUAAAAUAUAUAUAUAUAUAUAAAAAAUUAAAUAAAAAUAUUUUCAAGUCAUUUUAAAUAAGUUUAUCACUUAUUUAUAAUUUUUAAAUAGUAUACGUGUUAUGUAUAUAAUUACCAUAUUUUAUGAAUAUUCAAAAAUCGUCUCAAAAAGAGUUUGUUUUAAUUAAAUAUUCAAUUAAAUUAAUUUGGUUUAAACUACUUAUAAGUUAUUUAGUUUAUUAGUUUAAUUAUUCUUAUUUUAUGUUAUUUUAUUUUGUUGAUUCGAAAAGUGCAUUUUGUUGAUUUACGUUCUUUAAGUUUUGACGGUAGUUUAUGUUAAUUAGUUUAUAAUCAAAUUAUUUAUUUUAUUUCGUUAACAUCAAGAAGCUCAUUAAUUAAUUUAUAUUAAUUCGUCUUAUUUAGUUACUAGCCGAAUUAACUAAAAUAAUUCAAUUUGGCUAGAUUGUUAAUUCAUCUACCUAACCCUUUAUUGCAAUUCUAGCCAUUUAUUCCCUCACCCUAACUCAAAUUUGAGACCAAGUUGGCCCAAUUCUAUACCAAAACCCAUCCCCUUUUGUUUUCCAAUUCAGCCGAGACCCAUUCCCAAUUCCAAGCCCAAUUCCUAACAAUUCUAUAACCCACCAAAGGCCAACAAUAUGAUUUCCAUCCAGACCAGCCCACUUUUAACCCCGACCCGGCCCAUUUCCUUGUUCCAAAAGAAACCCAGCUUCCACCAGCUUCUAACGUCAACAAACAGAGCAAUUCCUAGACGUUAACAUCUGCUGAAAAAAAAAAAAUGACAAACACAACAGCGAUCAGGCGGAAAGCAAAGAGGAGCAAAGAGAGUACGCUACAAGUUUUGUUUUCUUCUUCACGUCCUUCUCAAUCCGUACAUUAGCAACAGCACGCGGCUGUCCCCAUUUCCUCUUUCGGAAUGGGAGAAAAAUUUCAGAGAAGAGAUGUUUAGCCAAAAUGGUGAAAGGAUUUCGAAUUUGAAAUUCGAAUGGGCCAUGUUAAUCAGAAUUUCAGCCUCUUUCCCCCCAAAAAUCCGAACCCUAAUUGCUCCCUAUAUAAGCAUCUUUCCUAUUCAUUUAUUUGGGGGCGGGGAUUUUUUUUUUUGAGUUUGAAAAUUCUGGGUUAGAGAAAAUAAUUAGAAAGAUAUUAGGAAAAAGAAAAACAAAAGUUGAAAGAAACAGUGAGGAAGACACAGAAAAAAUUGAAAUUACAGUAUAUGAAUAGGAAGAAAUAUAUAGGUUGGUAGUGUUUGUAUUGCUGAAAUUUCUAGGUCAUUUUUUUUCCGUUAGAGUUUCUCAUUUGUGGUGUUGGGAGGCUCCUGUCCAGCUCGUUCGGUUCAAGUUCGCUGCUUCGGAAAAGGUAUAUGACUUCCCCUUUCUUUUAAUCCCCUCUCUUGUGUCUAUUUUAUUAGUUAAUUGAUUGUUUAUAUCUAGUUAUCAAUAUGAAUGUAGUUUGAGUGGUUGUGUACAUAUGGAGGCCGGGAGAUUGGUUUUGGUUUGCUGUUGUUCCUGUAAACAUAUUUGUGAUUGGCUUCAAAAUGCUUCUUCGGUCCUAGUUUUACAUUCUUGAAUUUGUAUCAACAAUCGGUGCCCGACAUUAUGUCCUUCAUCCUCUUCUUAUGCUAAAUGUAUGAAUCAGAGUAUAUAGUUGUUUAUGCUCACUUUCAUGUCUCUAUGACUCUUCAUCUCGAGCUUGUUUACCGGGACAAGUAUGAGCUUCUUAGUCCUCGGGACAUAGUUUAAUUCGGAAUUUCUGAAAUAGCUUCAUAUCGGUUAGAUUUCAUCUUGGUUUAAGCAAGUGAUAUUUUAUUAGGUACAUCCAAUCUGCCUAUCAUACGUUACUUCUAAUGUGAGCUUAAUCGGUGAACUUAUAGUUAAAACAUGUGUCUUGUUUCAGAUUAUGCAUAUUCUAGUCUAAGAAAGCUCGGCUUGUUUGUCAUGAUUUUCAUCUAUCUAAAAUAACAUUAGCCUAAUUUUUGGAUUUGUCCUAGUUCUAUUAGGAUUUUUCACAGUACUAAUAUAGUUUUCCAAUCAACUGAUGAUAGUUGGUUAGUGGGUUUGCCUAUUAAGGUUUAAUUAAUAUUAAGAAUUUUCCCUUACUUUAAUUCUAGACACUGUUUUUGCAUAUUAAUGUUUUUGUGGAUUGGUACAACAUUAUUUGUUGGUAAAUCUCGAGUGUUUUUUUUUAAUUCCUUCUUUGAAAUCUUUGCACCUUCAUGCCAUGCAUAUCCCUAGUUUAUUGUUCAACUAGAAACAUAUCUUGCCAGGAAUUCAAUUUAUCCUCUCAAUAUACAUUGAGUCAUUAUGGGUUCACUAGUGUAUGAUGCUUACAUGCCUUAUUACCUACCUCAAUGCCCCCCUUUUUAUGUAUGUAAUUAAAAUUUAAUGAGUUAUUAUUUAUGUACAUCUUUUUUUUUAUUGCAUGUGAAACUCAAUUCGAGUCCCUUGUGGACUCCCUCCCUCCUUGCACAUUGAGUUGAGCCAUGGAGGCUCGAUUCCACUCUCUAAUCGGGUCGGCCAGCAAAGGGAAUAAUGGGCAGGACUAAGAAAAUCGAAAUGCUGGUUCCGAGAGCUGAAUAUACGCUGAUAUACAGUGUGAUACAGCUCCCAUAUGCAACGGAAAUAGGCAAAAGGCCCUCUUUGAAUUUUCAGCUUUGUUUUUGCGUUGUAACUAGGCCUAAGCCUUUUAUUUUAUUUUAUUUAUUUUGUGAAAAUCUAUUAGUUAUUAGGACAGGUACAAAGAGAAAAUAUGGGGUCCAAGGCCCAAAGAGGAAAUCAAUUUUCUUAUAAUAGUCUAGGACAGGUACCAAUUAGGCCCAAGUGCUGGCCUAGGCGGACAGAUCUAGACUUGGGCCCAAAUUUUCUCUCCCUAUUUACUUGACUGAUAUUAUGUGCUUAUUUGUUAAAAAUAAUAUUAAGGUUUCAAAACUUCAAAUCCCCAAAAGACACCCAUUUUGAAUUAAUUAUUUAACUAAAUUAUUCAUCUUAUACUUGACUUAAAAACAAAUAAAUAAAUAGGUUUACAAAAUACUUCACUUAGAUAAUAUUUCGAUAUUUUUUCUUUUCUCCCUUAAAAUUGUCCUAACUAUAAAAUUUGUUCAAUUUAAACUAAGUCAACAAUUUUUAGCCAAAUUAAUUAAUUGUCGGAUAACCGCAUUAGCGGAUAUUCUAAGUGCUUUAAAAACCUUCCUAGAAUAUUAAUAAGAACCUCGAACCCCCUCAAUAGUUUUCAAUAGAUUUACUGUUUUAGUCUUUUGAAAACAGUAGUUUUCUUGAUUUUUCUUAAAAAAUUAAGUGGCGACUCUUAAACCAGUCCAAAUUAUAUUUUCUAAUAAAACAGCUAUUAGGUGAUUUCUUCCCGUUGUUCAAAUCUUGUCAAAUAGAGUUAUUCGAUAUAUCUGCUAGUAUCAAUAAAUUAGUCGAAGUGGUCACUACAAUAUUGACAAGAAACCAUGCAUGUUCAUCCUCCUCGUAAAAUUGAAAACAGUUCCACCCCUCCAGGAUAAGCCUAGGCCGGCCCGGCCCACAUAUUUAGUGUGUAUAUUUAGUAUAUAUUAAAAGUAUGUAUAUAUUAUAAUGCAAGUAUUAUAUUAUUUAAAUAGGAUAUUACAAAAUUAAAUAGAUAGCAAUACACUAUAAUGAUAAUUGAAUCAAACUUCCGAAUUAAUAAAUGGUAUAAAAAGAAUUUGUCUUAGUUUGGCCCGUUAGCCCGGUGGGCAAAAAACCCGACCCGAUCCAGUAUAUAAGAUUAUUUUUUUGAUGGGCCGGGCUGGCUCGACCUGACUCAGUUAACAGGUUUACCCCCUCCACUGAAAAUACGAUUCUUGUUGAAUUUAAUUUCCUAAAGAGACGUACACCACUAAAGUUUCACCUGGAGAGAGUAGAAAACAGAGGAAAUACACAAUAGGGGAAACAAGAUUUGUACCUUAUCAGAAAAGAAAAUAUAUUUAUUUAUAACAUGAUAAAAAAGUAGUACAAUAAUAUUGUCACUCGAUAACAGGCAUGAACAUACAUGCAACUUAAUAUUAAUACAACAACUGAAAUAACAUGAGAAAAAAUCAUGCAAGUAAAACACACACACAUACAUACAUACAUAAAAAUCAAAAUUAGAUAGGAAGACUAAGCCUCUGUUCAAAACCUAUAUUCAUCCUUCUCCUUAGAUAGUUCCAAACAGUAAUUUCUCUCUGAAAAUACGACUCUUCUUCGAAUUUUUGCAUAAUUUUCUUGAAAACCCAAAGUAACAUUUGGCCUCCGGAAAGCAGAAAACAGAGGGAAAACACAACAUGGGAAACAGGGUACGUGAACAGAACAGAAGCCGUGGAUGCCAAAGAGAGAGAAGUAAAGAAAAUCAUAAUAUUGUGUACGAGGUCGGAGAAUUUCCUAUAAAUAGGAUGACGAGAAAACCUCUGCUUAAUACUGUAUAUUAAAGUGUAUAGGAGUAAAGAAGUGACAGAGAGUCUCAUUGUUUUGGGUUGGGUGGUAAAAGGAUCAGUGCCUUGAUAUUUUAGCUGUAUAAAGUUGAGUAAAAUGGUGAAG
rnacentral:lncRNA from 1 species